CUUAUACAAAAACAAAAGAAAAAUCCAAUCUUUCAUCCAUGACUACGUUACACUAAACUAAGUCUUAAGCAGUAACUGUGGCUUGGCUUGCCAGCCUCUUCCUGGCUUCUUCGAUAAUGGAUAAUUUAAUACCCUUGCCCUUGGGUAGGGACACCCAUGGCUUAGUCCCCUUACCAAUUGUGAACACAUUGCCCAGCCGAGUUGCAAAUUCGUGCCCGGUUGCAUCCUGAAUGUGGAUUGUUUCAAAGCUUCCCUUAUGCUUCUCCCUGUUCUUUAUAACUCCCACCCUGCCUCUGUUUCUUCCACCAGUCACCAUCACAACAUUUCCUACAUCAAACUUGAUGAAAUCAGCAAUCUUGUUAGACUCAAGGUCUAGCUUGAUGGUGUCAUUCGCCUUAAUCAGAGGGUCAGGAUAACGAAUUGUGCGUCCAUCGUAAGUGUUCAGAUAAGGGAUGCCCUUUUGCCCAAACUGCACUGAGCGAACUUUGCACAGCUUAUACUGCAAAAAGAUAAUGUGAAAGUCAACCUUCGAACCGUCCAAUUAUAUCAUGGAAAACAAACAGUGUCCAGCAUCUCCAGCCUGUUACUUCAGAGUAGGAAUCAUACAAAAAACCAAGUCAAAAAACCAAACCAAUCUAAACUGAAACAAUGGUUUGUUUGGUUGAGUUUUUUAGUACCCAAUUGAACUUCUUGGUUUGUAUUGGAAAAAAAAACAAAACAUAUUGGUUCGGAUAGGAUUUUUGUGGGAAAAACCAAUGAAAACCUGAACCAUAUGGUAGAUAUAUAGCCCUAAACAUACACUGUCAUUAGGUAUCUUUUUGUAUUAUAAUUAUUAUGGUGCAUGACUAUUUGUUCUUUAGAAAAAAAAAAGACUAAUUAUUAUGCAGCAUGCAUUUUUUUUAUUUAGAAAAUUGCCAAAAAUAAGAAAAGAAAAAUGUCAAAUUGUAAUUUAUAAAGAAAGAAAUAGUCCAAAUUUCAAUUUAAAGUUACCAAAAAUGACAUUCAAACCAAAGUGGAAAGUAAGAUUAAACUUUGGAAGAAGAAACGAAAAUGUCAAAAACAAAGCAUCAAACCAAUAAUAAAUUGAUCCAAAUAAAACCAAUCCAUUGAUUUUGUUUUUUUAUUGGACAUUGGUAUGGAUCCCUUAUGUGAAACCGAUUUGUUAGGUUUGGUUAUUGGUUGGCUUCAAAACCGACCAAACCAAACCGACUAUCACCCCUACUUCAGAGUGUUUCGUUUUCCUCCAUUACCGUAAUUGAUAAAAAUCUGAAAGGAGCACCUAACUUCAAAAAAUCAAACUAACAAAUGCAGAAUGAUUAUAGAAUACACUAAUCCAACCAGACAAAUGCUAAACCUCUCCCCUAUGAUUUAUGAACCAUCGAUGCCAAAACCUCCUUUUUAAUUGCAUAUAAUUUUCUUUCAAUCUAGUACACUUUAUACAACAAGAUUGUAAUAAACAGCAGGUCAAAGGUCAAUAUCAGAAGAACAGUGGCUAACCUUAGCCUCUUCAUCCCUAACUGAGUGUAGACGGAAUCGACCUUUUGUGUCAUAAAGAAGCCGGAAAUUUUCGUUUGUCUUGGGAAUUGACACAACGUCUAAAGAGGGAGAGAGACAAAAAUUAGUGAUGUGCUUAAAAUGUAUACACAAAGGCAAAAAACAGAACAUGAAGCAACAUAGAUACAAAGCAGUUCCAAGCAGGACACGUUUAUGAGUUAUCGAUCAAACCAUUUGAACAUAUCAUCAAUAAUACCAUUUUGUUCCCACUUGGUAAUUUGGCAGGUAAACCUAUAUCUAUAGUUGCAUUCCUAACUAUUUGGCCCAUUCCUAUUCACAGACAACACUUUUCGAAGAAUUGUUAAAAAAUGCUAAACCAAAAUGACGAUAGAGAGCUAACAGUCAAGCCACCAAAAAUAAAUAACAUACAACUUAUAAAAUAAACUCCACCAACCAUUAGGUAUAGCCUAAUAUGAGGGCAUGGAAAGCAAUAAGACCAAAAGAAGACAAUAUCCAUAUGGAUGGAUGAGUUAACACUCCAUUAUUUCCCCAAUUCAGUUCAUAAAAUCAACAGCCAAUUUCGAGAAUAAAAAAACCAAUUUAGCAAGCAAUCUGUAACAACUUCUGUAGAGGCACUAAUGUAAAAGGGUAAGUAUAAAUUGGAUGAUUUAAACUAAAACACUAGUUAGGUUACAAAGUUUAAGAUAAGCAUACCCAUAAAACCAGCAGGAAAAGUCUUAUCAGUCCUGACCUUCCCAUCGACCAAAACAUGUCGUUGCAUUAAAAUUGCAAUUACCUCACGGUACGUGAGAGCAUACUUCAGCCGGUUCCUCAAUAUAAGGAUCAAGGGGAGGCAUUCCCUCGACUUAUGAGGACCAGAUGAAGGUUUGGGGGCCUACAAACAGAUUAGAGAGAUAAAACUAAACGUUAUGAUUCAUAAACUCAGAAAGAAAAGGAAAAACAAAUAAAACAACAAAUUUGACUCACAAAUGCACCACCAAGUUUGUCGAGCAUCCAAUGCUUUGGAGCAUUGAGCCUCUUCAAAUGCUUCUUCAGUCCUCUUGCCUGUCAUAACCAUAGGCAUUAAUUUCAAACAAAAAAAAUUAUUUAUUUGGAAUACCAAGACGGGAAAACACAAGCAUAGAUGGAGAAAUCCAGAGAGCAUAAGAUAAAACAAGAAACGAUAAUGUAACAAAAUGAACAGGUAAUCAGAAUCUGUAGAAGAAGGAUAGAAAGAAGAAUAGAAUGGAAAAAUGAAUGAAAGGAAGAUGAGUGACCAUAUCUGUUGCAAGAGCUAAAAGUCGGAGUCGGCGCCGGCGCUAGUGGGGGAGAGAUAGGGUUUCUUACUGAAGAGAGAGUGUUUGUUACAACGAAAACAUAAAAAACCUCCAGAGAGAGAGAGAGGUAGAGAGAGCCAUUAAGGGACUUUUUUCUUAAUUUUAAUAAAACUCUUUACCCAAUUUUAAGGGACUUUUUUCUUAAUUUUAAUAAAACACUUUACCCAAUUUUAAGGGACUUUUUUCUUAAUUUUAAUAAGACCUCCGGAGAGAGAGAGGUAGAGAGAGCCAUUCUCCGUCUAUAAUCUAUAAUAACUGAUAAUUGGAAUAUUUUAAAAAAAUACAACCAUCUAACAAACAUUUACCCAACAAUUUUGAAAACGAAAAAAACUUAUUGGUCCACAAUAAUAUAUUCAUGAACAUUCAUGCGUGUAUUUCUUCAUCUAAAAGAUCAUGAUACAUGAUUUUGUAGGAAAUAAUAAAUCAUCGUAGGUAGUAUCAACAUGAUUUUGUAGUUUUUUUAACAAUGAACAAAAUUCUUCAAAUUUAAACGAUCAUGUUGACUAUGGUAAGCGAUUGUUUAGCUCAUAUCCACACGAUCGUGUAGUUAUUUUAAAACGAUGGGAAAAUGACUUCAAAUCUAAACAAUCGUGUUGACCAUGCCAAACGAUGGUAUUGGCUAGUUAAGUAGUCGUUUAGAUUAUGUCAAUGUGAUAUUUAGAUGAUCUUGAUAUUCUAGAAGAGAAGAUGAAAAAAAGAAAGAGAGGAUGAAGAAAUAAAGAAAAAUAAGAAUAAAAAUAGAAGAAAGAAAAUCUAAAAGAGGAGCGAAAGAAAUUUGGUAGAGAAGAUGAAUAAAUCACAGAGAAUAAGAAAAAUAAGCGAUGAAUCGCCUGCUAAUAGAAAAUAGGCUUGCAAAGCAAAAAAAACAGAUCUAAAAUUUACCAAAAUUACUGAGAUUAACAUGCAACCCUAAACUACAUGAAUCAGAACUUUAUUAGAAAUUACUUUUAUAGCUUCUGAAUUAAACGUCUACUACUCGAACAAGAACUUGGACCAUCACUAAUAGUCAUCUAUUAUCCUCCAAACUUAGAACCGAGUUAUAGGACUUGACGGAUGAAUGAAUCAAGAAAAAAACUUGAGAUAGAGAGAGUGAUGGAAUUGGAAGGUCAAAUAACUUUUUUCAAAGGUUGAAAAUUGGUAUUUUGUUUGGUGGAGAAACUCUUUCAAAAGAAAAUAAUUUUUUAAAUUAACAAAAAGUCUUUCAUAAUUUGAUAAAAUUUCUUUAAAUAACCCAACUACAUGCGACUCUGACAAGUAAUUAGUUCACUCAAUUUCAAUACCUCACUUUUCAGUUACAAUUAUAAUGAGUUGAAUUAUUCACCAUUGCAUUCUCUUAGUGGGGCUCUCGAUGUCAUCACCAUGAGUUUCCACUUACCCCAUUAAGAGUUAGUAGAAUUAUCUAACAAAAUGUUGGAUUUUUCUACUACUUUAGUGAAGUGGUAAAAUGGUCAUUUGAUCAUUCUAGUCAAAAUCAAACUUUAAUUUUUCAAGUCAAAAGUCAACAUUUUGACCUCCUUGAUUAUUCAUGAUCUCCCGAGCAUGAAUCCACAUUUAUUUUCUUGAAAUUCAAAUCAUAUUUAAAUAUAUUACCCGAUCAAAGUUUGACUUUUCAAAGUCAAAAGUUAACAUUUUAACUUUUAACAACAUUGACUAUUCUCAUCAUUUUCGAGCUUUUGAGUAUAAAUCUGUAUUCAUAUUUUAUAUUUAAGUCAUAUUUAAACAUAAAGCUUUAUCUAUAAUCUGAUAACAGACGACUAUAUUGCAUAUGCUUGUUGGUUUCUCUUUUAUUGUUGAAUUAAAACAAUUCGAAUCAUUCCAUCAUACUGUUAUAAGUUUAUUCUAUAUGAGCUAGCAAGGGAACCUAAUGGAUCUAUAGAUCAUGGGAUCCAACGAUAUGAGAUUAACUGGUUAAACCUUUUUAGACCGUGUUAAAUCAACAUUCGUUAACUAACCGAUCAUUCUACUAAAAUCUCGUAGUUGCACUCCUCUCACUAUAGAUAUAUUUGUGUAUGUUUAAUAUAACCACAAUCAGCAAGUUAAUCAUUCACAGGUUGUUCGUAACCUUUAUUGGGUCAACAUACCAUGUUACCACCAAGACAACAUCUUGCUUCUUAAGUCCUAUUGAUCCACUAUUGAACAAUUAGUUUUAGAUCCACCUUAAGAGAAUAGUCUAUCCAUUAACCCUAAAGUAGGUAGGAGUGAAUUUUGUCUUGUACUUUAUGUCCUCAUCUAUUCACCCAGUCUUACUUCUAAAAUGAGAGGCUUAUUGGGCUAACGGUAAAGAGUUGUCCUCUCUGUUUUCACGAGAUUUCGAAGAAAUGUAAUUCGUGGAAUUGAACUUUGAUAUAUUGAUGAAUAUUGUGAAUACAAUCUCUAAUAUUUAUUCAUUUGAUGCUUUCUCUCGAAUACAAGUUAAAACUUAAAACUUCUUGAUCUUCGGUCUUCAGGAUGUUGUAGUUGCAAGUCGAUUUGAACUUCGAUCUUCUGGAAUCCAAGGAAAGUUUAAUCUUUCAAGUAUUAAAUCUUUCAGAAGAUGUUGAUCUCGAGGUUGAUACGAACUUGCACGUCUUAAAAGCUUGUAGAAGUUUGAAUCUUUAAUUAUUUAGAGCUUCAGUACUUUAGAGCUUUAAUUUUUCUUUCAACUAAAGUCCCCCCUCAAAUGAAUGACAAAGGUCUCUAGUUAUAGAGAAAUUUGGUGAGCUUUAGAUGGGCUUGGACCCAUUUACUUGUUGGACUUGGGCUUGGACCAAUUUGUCUAUUGGGCUUGGGCUUGGGUUUGUGCCCAUUUGCCUUAUUGGUUUGGACUUGGGAUUGGGUCCAUUUGCUUUAUUGGUUUGGACUUGGGCUUGGGUCCAUUUGCUUUAUUUUGCUUGGGUCCAUCUGCUUGUUGAGUUUGGACUUGACUAAUCUGCUUAUUGGACUUGAAUUUGGUUGGAAGUAGACUUAAUUAUCAAAAUCCAAUAAAAAUAUAAUUAUUAAACAUUUGUUGUGAUGAUGUGGCAUAAUUUAAUUGACCAAAAUUUCUUGCUCAACAAAUGCCCAUUUUGAGAUUAGCGCACGUGUAUGGGUGGACGAGUCUCGAAAACGAUAAGCUGAAAAAAAUACAAAUGAUUUGUUCUUGACUAUGACUUCAGUUAAUAUGACAAAUUAAUCACACUAUGCAUUUGGACAUAAGUGUGGUUAAAAUGCUAUAUGAAGUUUGAUGAAUUUUGAAUUCAAUUCACAAUUUUUAUUAUUAUUAUAUAUAUAUAUAAACAUCCUUUGGAAUAUGGCCAAGAGAUUUAAUUUAUUUGUUAUUUUAUUAUUAUUAUUAUUAAAUAUUAUUAUUACUAUUUUUUCCCUUAAAUAUUUCAUUUUUCAUUUUUCUUUUUCAAUUUAAAUAAAACAAAUCAUCUCUUCUCAUAUAAUUCAUUCCAAAAAUAAAAUAUUCAAAUUCUUUUACAGUUUGUUAUCCAUUAUUUUGUCAUUCUCACUGUUUUUCAUUAUUUUAUUCUCUAUUUACGAUGCAUUUAAUGUCGGCAUCAUUAGUUUAAGAAAAUUUUUAUUAUCCAUAAAUAUCUUAUAAUUGAUUGAUUCCCCUCAAAUAAUGUCAAUUUAUUAUUAUGUUAAAUGAAACGUUUUAUGAAAUGGUUAUAUGCAUAAUUAAUAGGGAGGCUACAAUCUUGAUAUGAAGUUAUUAUAUCAAAUACACAAAUUUCAGGGAAGAAUACAAUUUUAAAUUCAAGUAUUGGAAAUCUUUUAAGUAAACUUUUUAAAUCAAAUGAUAAAAUAUAUAUUUAUUACUAAAUAUAUAAUCCGAAAACAAGGAAUGAUAAAUAUAAAAAAUUGUGUAUUCGAAUGAUACAAUAAAAUGUUACUCAAAAUUAACCAACCUUAUGAAACGUACCAUAAAUAAAUUAUAUUAUCAAUCAUUAUAUGAAAAAUUUUGUAUUUGUAUGAUAUGAUAAAAUAUUAUUAAGAAUUAACCAAACCUUAUAUUAUGAAUCAUUUUAUGCAUAACAAAAAAGUAUAAAUUAAAUAGCUAUUAGUAGAUAUAUAUUAAUAAAAAUAAAUUGUUAAUUAUUUGAUUUAAUACCUACAAAUUCUAAAAUUUGGUAUAAAUUGAAUGCAUAAAUCUAGGUGAUGUUGAUUAAACGAGAUCAAUACUGAAAAUAAAUAUUUAUUUAAUAUUUUUACAAAAUCGAAUAAUUUGUAAAUACAUUGUAUUCAUGAUUCUAGGUUAUAUUCCAUUAUUUUAAUCUAUCAAAAUACACUGUAUCACUGUAUCAGAGAAAAAAAAAGUUUUAGUCUAUGAAGAGGUAAAAUUGACUAAAAAUUUAUCAAAAAAAUAUCUACAUUAAACGAUCUUGCUAUUAAUCAAAAUAUUUUUAAAUUUGGUUAUUUUUGAAACUGUUAUCUAUUAUUUGGCUAUUCUCACGAUUUUGCAGUACUUAGGAUAUAUGGAUUAAAGCCCCCAAGUUUCAAAUCCAAAACUAUCUUAAUGAUUUAAGAGUGAAAAGCCCAACCCAAAAGGGACGCUUCAAGCGAUAUUUAUAUAUAUAUAUUUUUAAGAAAAAACAAUUUCCAAGGAAUAAAACCGUGUGCAUGCAAAGAAAUAAAGGUACAAAGGCAAGAGUCGAAGCAUCGUCAAAAUUCCUAUAUAAAUCCAAGCCUUUCCAAUCGCUUCUCAAAUCCCUAUACAUUCCUCUUACCUAAGGUGCAGACCUUUCUUCUCUUCUUCUCCCUGCUUAAUUUUCAACUCUUUGGCUUGGGUUUUGUUGAUUUUCCUCUGAUUUUGAUUCCUUUCUCUUCUUUUUCUGCUUUUCCUUGUAAGGUUUUUCCAUUUUUCUUUAUCUUCUCUCUCUUUUGUUCUUGAUCGUCCACCAAAUGGUUGUUUGUGUUUAUAUGAGUUCAUUUUAGUUUAGGAUAUCUUCUUGUUUUAUCAUCUGUCAGUAAGAGAGGGGCGUUUAUUUGCUUGAGGGUCACUCUUGAAAUUAUGUUUUUUCAUUUUUCUUAGAUUGUUGUGUGAUUGUCAAUAGUACCAGUUACUAGGGUAGAGGCUCAUGUUGGUCGUGCAUGCUUGUCUAUUUCUUUUGUUCUUUUGAUUUUAUCUUUCUUAUCUGUAUGUUGCCUCUUUCUGAUCAUCCUGUUAUAAACGUUUGUUUAGUGGAGACUAAUGAUAUCAUCCAUCAUAAAUCGAAUUUCUAAAAGAGCCGACGCCUCAAGUUCUCUGAUCAUGAUAAUUUAUUUUCUCUGUUUGCGAUUCCUUACUUGGAAUUGCAAUGUAUGAAUAUUCUAGUCUUGAUUCUGUUAGAAUAAGGUUUAUUGAGUACGAAUGGAAUGAUAUUAUUUCCUACUAAUGAGCUUAUAGCCAUUUAAGCGAUCAACAUAGUUUCAAGGACACGUGCUAUCCAUUAUAUGUAUUUAUAGUCAUAGUCCCAUUUCAUUGAUUUUCUUGGCGUUUUUUGCAUAUUUUUAAUUUGAUGUGAUGCUUUCAUAUUUGAGUUUUGAUCAUACGUUUUUUUUUUUUUUUUUUUAAAUUUUGCGUAGAAGUCAUCGAUGGCUUCCAAACGUAUUGCCAAGGAGUUAAAAGACCUGCAAAAGGAUCCUCCAGUUUCUUGCAGUGCUGGUUUGUGCUGAACAACCAAUCUUGUUUUUAAAUUUUACAUUCAAAACCAUUCAUUUGGAACUAUGAUAAGUUAAUUUGAAACAAUCUUUUGCAUAUGCUUUGUGAUACUAAAAUACAAUUUAUACAACUUGGGUUCCCAAUUAGAAUCUUGCUUCAUGAUAUUAACACGAUGUAGACCCGUAUUUCUUUCUAUGAGAUAUUUCUAGAUAUUAUAAUCUGAGGCAUUUUCUAAGCUUUCUUAGGCCAUGAUUGUUAAUUGUAAUGUCAAUUUAUAUGGAUAAUGGUUUGGCCCAUCUUGGUAGAUAGUUUUGAUUACCUUUCUGGACUUAUGCAAUGUCCUUGAUGUUAUUUUUGAACAGGUCUAAUUUUUUACGGUGUUGUGGUUCACGAAUAUUGUAAUAUGGGACUGUAUUUUAUGGAUGUGGUUUCCUAGAAAAUGGAUAUUUGAGCAUAACUGAGUUUUUUCUUUUAUAUGACAUGUAUAAUGCAUCAUCUAACACCGGAACUUCUGAAUCACUUCGCACCCAUCUUUCUCCACUUGGUGUUUUCUUUUUACAAGAUUAUUUGCAGGUCCUGUUGGUCAAGACGUGUUUCACUGGCAAGCAACAAUUAUGGGUCCAGCAGAUAGUCCUUAUGCGGGGGGUUUAUUUUCAGUGAACAUUCACUUUCCACCAGAUUAUCCCUUUAAGCCACCAAAGGUAGUGAAGCCUUCCUUGCUCAGUCUGCUUCUAUUUUCUUUCCCUCUUGAUUGUAUUCUAGUAUUUGUCAAUGAAUUAUUUUGUUCAUGGGAACACGUUCACGAUCCCUUGCAACUCUUGGUUUGUGGCAACAAAGUAACAGGUUUCUAAUGAUUUUUGUUUCCAUUGGUACUGUUGCCUGAAAGUCUGUACAUGACACUAAGGUUGGAGAAUAAGUUUGAAGGUUGAGAAUCUAUUCCAAUGGAUGGAAACUGUUUUUGUUUUCCUUGGUACUUCAAAAUAUAUUUCUGCUCUGUGUGCUAUUCGUUUCUUAUCUAUGAGUGUCUAAUUGGUUUCUGCUAUUCCCAUCACAACUAACAGAACCUUACUGCAAGUUCUUGUUACUUAAUACCUAAGAUUUUGAUAUCUAGGUAGGUAGGGAGUUUAGCUUGAACUCAUUCUUAUAGAGUCCUUUGCUUUUUCACACAUGCUUCAGUGUUACCUCAUCAACCAAAUCCCUUGCCCUUGUAUGAUAAAAAAAAAUGUUACCCCUUCAACCAAGAGUUGUUAUAUGUCUCCAUAUUAGAAUAAAGGAAAGGUUGGUUGGUCACGUUUUGUGGUUUAGUUCCUCCUUUUUUUAAUUUUUUUUGUGUUUAAUUUUAUUUUAUUUUGUACUUUCAUGUCCUUGGUUCACACAAUGUAGAUUUGGUUUAAUUGUUGUUACCUAAUGCUGCUGUUUUGAAUUCUUUCUUUGUAACCUUGAAAAAGCGAUCAAAAUCGAAUGUCAAAGAAAUGGCCAUAUUAUAGUAAUGGCUGUUGUAUUGUGUGUUAAGCAGGUUUCCUUUAAAACCAAAGUCUAUCAUCCUAACAUCAACAAUAAUGGAAGCAUCUGCCUUGACAUUUUGAAAGAGCAAUGGAGCCCUGCUCUUACUGUUUCCAAGGUUCUACCAUGCUUCUGUCAUCUCGUUAAAUCUUUACUUUAUAUUAUGUUUAGUUUUUAUGUCUAUUCUGAUUUUGUCUUUCAGUUUUUAUAUAUUCUUUUUUUGUUUUAUGAACCUUGCAUAAGCUUUUUCUAGUUCUGAUUUAUUUUUUUAUUAAACAUUUAACAAAAACCCAAUAAUGUUGAGCUUCUAACAUUUGUCCAACGAGCAAUAAGUUCUCGUAAUUUGGAACCUUCUUAAUAGGUUACUAAGAGUAGGAGUUGGGGAGUUUAAAUCUAUGCAUUGUUUGGUUAAGGAGAUUGUGGGCCCUGUGACGGAAAGGUUUAAUUCCACUACCCAUGCAUUGGCUCACAACUAAAAAAACUCCAGUCCUUGUCUCAAUUGCCUUUUAAUAGAUUUUUUAACUUCUUUAUAAACUUAAUGUGUGUAUGUGUGAGAGAUAGAUCCCCUCUCCAAAAGGAGAACUUAUAAACUCCUAGUUCUAGAUUUAUAAUUUUUGUCAAUUAGGUUAACCAUGAAUUUAUCAAGGUCGGGACAAUAUUGGAUGCAAUUUGUACAUUUCGGAACUUAUCGAACACUUAAGUUGAAACCUUAAAAAAUUAUCAACAAGGGCUAAAUAGUUUGCUUAUCCUAGAUUCAAGAAUCAAAUAGAAUACAUGAGUUUUAGCUGCAGGGAUGUGUAAGGCUACCAACCUCAUAUUAAAUAAAAACACCAAACUAGCAAACAAAGACAGUACUUCGGAGUUGUUUAUGUAUAUAUAAAUGCCAAAAUGUUCACAAACUUUGAUAUCAAGAUGACCAAGAGCAAAAGAAUACAUAAAGAAACAUACCACCAGCCCCCUUUUACAUCAAUGGAGACUCUAGUCGGCUACAUCGGCAACAGUAGCCUACUCCCAUAAAGAUGAUAAAAGAAAACCUAGCUACCCUCUCCCUAUCAUUCCCUAUUUAAAGCCUUUCCUAAAAUUCCCCAUGUGGGCUCUACUCUGUAGGAACUUUUAUUCCCAUCAUCCCUCCUCAUUAACAAUAAGUGCAUUUUCCUUUUUACCCUUUCUCACCUACAUAUGAAUGAUUGGGGGCCUUAUAGGAUGUUAACCUUGGAGCUUUUAAUUGGAUUAACCAUCUACUUGGUUUAUAAAAUUGUUGCAGUUAAAUCCUUAACUACUAUUGCCUACUGCUGAAUCACCCUUGAAUUAUAAUUAUUGUUGAACGUAGCAACUGCAGCAGUUGAGUUUUAUGGGUUGAAGUAGAAGGAGCAAAAUAAAGUUUAAGGUUAUUUGAAUAAUGUUGUGUGCAGGUGUUAUUGUCGAUAUGCUCACUGCUAACGGACCCAAAUCCAGAUGAUCCAUUGGUUCCAGAUAUAGCUCACACGUACAAAAAUGACAGAGCCAAGUACGAAAAUACUGCCCGAUCUUGGACCCAGAAGUAUGCGAUGGGCUAAAUAAAACAAAACCAACAAUGCUUGCACUUUUAUGUUUGCUGGAUUUGCAUGCAAAGGUUAUAAUUAUUAGGUUAUAUUAUGCUCAAACUUAGUGGAGAUCAACAUUACAGUGGUUGCUUUCUCUGCACCAUCUAAUAAUAUUUUGUGAUUAAUAUAUCAUCACCUUGUACAUCUAUAUUCUCAACUUCCUCAAUUCUGCUAUGCUAUGGGGGUUGAAUAUGAAAUUACUUGCAAGUCUAAUAGGGUUGAUAUCUUCUAGGUGGUGGUUCAUGGAUUUUCCUUACCUAAAAUUGAAGAGUGUAGAUAAAAUAAGAAUGGAAAGGAGCAUGUUUGUCUAUUCAAACACAUAUGUUGAUUGAUUAUGAUACUAAUAUUCUAUAGUUUACCAUCUCCUCUCGUGUGAUCAGAGAGGAUGUGGCAUGGCUAUUAUAUUAAUUCACUUUCACUAUGUAAUCAUUUGUAACAUUACAUAAGCUAUAGUUUAGGUCACAUUGUGUACAAGAUUUAUCAUUUUGUCAUGUAAUUGCAAAUUGUUAAAAUCUAGGCUUAUUAUUAGUUUUCAACAUACACAUUUUGAUCAAUCCAUUACGACUUUCUAUAGCAUCCAAUUAUAACAUUUGAUUCAUUCACGCUGUAAAGAGAAAGUGAAUUACAUGACAAAAUUAUAAAUCUUGUACACAAUGUAAGAAUUGUAAGAACAUGUUUAUACAGAAUAAGUACAUCAAAAUUAUAAAUCUUGUACACAAUGUAAGAAUUGUAAGAACAUGUUUAUACAGAAUAAGUACAGUAUGAUGUAUACAAUAUAAAUGAGAACAACAACAAUAGGAAGAAGAGAAAGUGGAUUACUAAUAUAAGUUAAAUGAUCAACAAAUACUAAUAUUUUCUUAUUUUCUUCAAUACUAAUAUUUUCUUCAUCACGGUUGUAUAUUCUCCAGGUAGCUUUCUGUUAGGAUACUAACAAUAAUUUAGACUGAAAGGACUGUAUAAAUGGCUUAAACAGAGGCGGUACUCUGGUUUACUUUAUUUAUAUAUAAAGCCAAAUGAUCCAGAUUCACAAGAUGAAAAGAAAUAACAAGAAACAACAAGGAAAAAUGCAGAAAAGAUCAUACCAGCCUCUUGGUUUUAAGAGACCCUGGUGGCUGCUGUAGCCCUACCUCCUAAAAGUUAAAAAUACCCUAGCUACUCCAACCUAAUAAUCCUAUUUAUAGACUCACAUAUUCCUCAGCCCAGUGGGCCCUACCACUCAGAACGUCCUUCCAAUCAUUUCUCCAUAAUAAUUCCCUGUGCAGUUACUUUUCUACCCUUCCUCCUAUAAGUAUGGAUAAUUGGGGGUCUUACACUUUCUCAAGCUCUUCCUCUCUAAAACAAACUUUUUCGGGCUCUUCUUGGCCUUUAAUAUUUUCUUCAUCACGGUUGUAUAUUCUCCAGGUAGCUUUCUCAAGCUCUCCCUCUCUAAAACAAACUUUUUCGGGCCUCUUCUUGGCCUUUGCGGGUCUCCCUUCAUCGGUGGAGAUGAAGUGCUUGUAUAGGCUACUUUUCAACGGAAAAAUUCUUUUAUUUCGAGUGUGUCAGCGUUGUCAUUUGAUAUGCGUUCCAGGCCAGCAUUGUCAAAUAAAUAGGUUUUGUGAGGUUUCUCUCAUCAAAGAGAUAAUCACUAUCAAAUGAGUGAAACUAAACCUCUUGAUGAUAUAGAUAGUAGGCUAUCUUGAUGACAUAUCGUACCUAAACUAUAAUAUUUUGUAAAUAUUUUAGUUUAUUUUAUUAUAUUUAAGAAUAACCCUAAAAAUAUUAUAAAAUAUUUGCUAAUAUAAAAAAAAAAUGAAUUAUCUUUACAAAAUAUAGUAAAAAACCUUAAAUGAGCUAUAGAGAAUUUGAUGAUUUUGUUAUAGUUUAUUUAUAUAUUCAAAUGUUUUUGCUAUAUUUGAAAAUGCACUGAUAUAAAAUAAUAAUUAAACAAUUUUUUAAAGAAAACAUUUUUAAGAGGUAUUAAUAAUGGUUUCUAUGAGACUUAAUAGUGAGUGUAUAUAAUUAUAUUAUUAAACACAUCUUGUAUAAGUGUUUGAAUUAAAAUCGAGUCAAUAUGUCAAAAUACAAAAUAUAACUUUGUUGUAUUGAUUCCCAGAAUGCAACCACAAAAAAGAUUGAUCUUCUAUCCCCACCAUUGUUGGGUUUUAAAGAACAAUAAAAUCCAACCUAGCAAUUAAUAAAAAUAAAUGCAGGAAAUCAAAUCACAAAUAUGUCUAAACUCAACUCUAACUACAAAAGGCUGAAUUUCACUAAUAAAAUCAGUAAUACCAAGUUUUAUCCAACUACUACAACACAUAAAAACAGUGGUUAACUAAAAGUUAUACUGAACAAAAAGAUUUAUUUCAUCAAUUAUUUAAGUUUAGUUUCAUAUAAAACUAGAAGGUAAAAAAGCUAAAUUGUUCACUCAGAAAUUCCCCAAUUCUUUAGGCAUAUAUUCAAGUCUUCCAAUGAGGAUAAAGAGGGAGAAAAAUGAGUAGACCAGGUCUCUUGUGUGAUCAAACAUUUGUGAGGUUUAGCAAAAUUCCAUGGACCAAAAUCCCUUGCUAUGGUUUUCCUUCAACUACUUACAAAAAGAUUCAGCUUGUUCUCCUUCCAAAAGAAAAACCAUCACGUCCUUGUUUUAUAGCAAGCAGUUGUGGCAAAUAAUUCGAUCAAAGUCAUACGAGAGGUGAACCUUAAAUCCUUUGGAUUCUAAGCUUCCCAAUAAAUGGGACAGAUUAUGAUAGGCGUCGAAGACAGUCCAUCAAAGCAUCAGUGUGUUCGGGCUUCCCGGCAGUCACACGAACAUAACCUUUUAACUCUUUUUUGUCAUAGUGACGGAUCAUCACUCCCAUUUUUGCCAGGUCCUCCUGCAUUCAAAUUUUGCAGUCAAUUUCAGGUUUACAAGCCACAACCAAAGACGGGAAGGUAGCAACCGCAUUACAUCCAUCAAUCUCAGAGAUAAGCAAUACAAUUAUACAAGUAAGAUCUACCAUUAUGAGUUAAAUUAUGUCGCAUCUAUUUGAUAAUUUUCAACGCAUCAAAACCAGAGAGAUGAAUCUUAUUGUUAAAAUCUUUUUCUUGGAAGGAAGCUGAAAUGAAGCAUGAACUUGGGGACCUUUCUCCAGGGUUUGCUGAAAUUAACAGAGAAGGUUAGGUUAUCUGAUUAAAGUAGUUGAUUGCAGGUCCAAACUUUUAUAAGAUUUUGCUGAAGUUUCCGAAGGGGGAAACUUUGAUAUGCGUUAGUGUCCAGACCAGCAUUGUCAAAUAAAUAGGUUUUGUGAGGUUUCUCUCAUCAAAGAGAUAAAUGAAUCACUAUCAAAGGAGUGAAACUAAACCUCAUUCAACAAGCAAGGGUGUAAGAAACUGAGCCAAAUUAUUAAACACGACCAAAUCAAAGCAAACCAAACAAGUUUAAUUCAAAAUAGGCUUUGUGAGGACAGAAAACUGCUGCAGUAGUCAUCAAUAAUUUUAAAACUUCCGAACUUUCUGCCUUCCUUCUCUUCUUCACAAAGCCCUACUGACUAUGUCUUUCCCAUCCCUUGUCAGUUUUCAGAUCAUUUGGGUACAAAGAUAUAAUUUUCAAAUGGUGGAAAGCAUAUUUAUAGAACACUGCGAGAGAUGUUCUUAUUCAAUUGGUAAAAUGAAACUCAAUACAAGAUCAGAUUGGUAGUUUAUCAAUCUGGAAACAAAAAGUACACUAACAAGAAGAAAAGAAAAUCACUCUCUGUUAUCCUUUCUCUCGGAUGAACAGCCUUCCCUCAACAAAAUGAAAAUCCCCCCCUUCACAGUCUCUCUCCCCUGCUAUAUAACCGCCCUCCCCUUUCUAACUAACUGUGGGUCUCAUUGUUAACAUUUGCACUCCCCAUCUCACGUGCUUUUUCCUUUUUUAUUUCUCCUACUAUAUUGUAAUAAUAUUGGAGGUCUAACACAUAUUUGUUAAUAAUUUUGCAUAAAGAAUAUGCUAAAAUUUUAGUAUAUUUAGACCCUCGAAUACUUUUCUACUUAGAUUCAUGGCUGACGAUCUCAAUAAAAAAGAGUAGAGUAACGUUGCAAGUCUAGAGAGCAAAAGUGGUAAAUAUGAAGAAAGUCAUUUACCUUCAAUUUCUUCGCAUCCUUUCCUGAUGUCACCUCGCAAAGGAUGAAAUUAGAGUGACUAGGAAAUGGAUUUAAGAAUGGCACAUCCGUCAGAAGAUUAUACAACCUCUCACGUUCUUGCACCAAGGCAUUUUUUACCUUCUGCAAGAAAUAGAAAGUAUGAAUUAGAAAUGAAUCGAACACCAAAAUACCUUUCCCUUGUUACCAAGUAUCUCAUCAUUUUUUUAUACUGAGUAUAUAUGUACAUUUACGCAAAUCUCCUCUAAUCUAAUGGAGACAACUUCUUGACACUACAAUAUCUAGUUAUCAAAAAAAAGAAAAUGGUAGCAUUUAAUCUUGGAUAAGUAGUCACUGAGGGAUUGAAACUCUUUCCAUAGUCUUCUUACUGUUCUCACAUCUCCCAAUGCCAUUAAGUCAAUCAUUUGCAGUUAUCAAGUAAUGUUGAAGCUAAAAGAAGGCAUCCAACAAGUAUUAGUUGAGGGAGAAAGUGUACCUCCAAGUAGGAGGGGUUCUGCAAUGCUGCACAUGCAGCAAUUUCAGCAGCAACAGAUACAUUGUAAGGUUGCUUUGCUCGCCAAGCAUAUUCAAUGAUACUCAAAGGAAAUGCUCCAUAUCCUACACGAAGUCCAGCUAAACCUGCAAUUUUACAUCUCACAUAAAGAGAUCAUAGUAAAGCUAUUGUCAAUCAGUUACCAAGAGUAGAAUUGUGGGAAACCAUUUACAUUUACAUAUUCAAAAAAUAAAACUUUUGAAAUAGUAAUUAAAUCAUAAAAAAUAAGAAGAUCAUAGCCACAACCCUGCAACUAAAGUAAUGGAUAAAAUGUGCUUUAGGUUUAGCUUUCUGGCAGCAAAAUCAUACCAGAUAGACCUACCUAGUUACACUAAAAUAUGUUUUUCUACAUUUUGACAGCAAAUAGAAGAUAAGAGUUUAUCUCCAUCAAGAAGAAUACAUUGAGUGUAAGAAAACAUGAGACUUUCAAUAUGCAAGACAUGCCUCUGAUAAGUUUUUUCCAACUUACAUGGAUAAUCUAGUGUUUUCCAUACAAAAUUUAAGGGACACAAGUUUAAAUUAGUAGGAUAUGCAUAGGAAGACUUUUUGUUAGUUAGAAUCAACAAACAUAAUAUGUGCAUGACAAAUCUACUUUACUAGAUCGUGACACCAAGUUCUGUCAUUUCGAUAACACAAUAGUCAUGAAUACAAAAAAUGAAGUCGUAAACAGAUAAACAAGUAAAUUAUUUUAAAACUAUAGUGGUUAAAAAAAUGAAGAUAGUACACCUGCUCUUUUACUGAAUGUUCGAAGUACAAUCAAGUUUUCAUAUUUCUUCACCCACUGCAUCUUUGAUUCAGUUGAGGAAAACUCUAUAUAUGCUUCAUCAAGAACAACUAGUACGGGGAGGUCAAGAAUUUUCAAGAGAUCUUCAUCACUAAUUACACUGUAAACAAGUAGAAGUCUUAGAUGGAGUGGAUGGAAUAAAAAUGACUUCAAAUACAUAGUUUAGUAUGUUUAAGAUUCAAGCAAACUGGUCUAUUUUUCAAACAACAUACAACAUAUUACACUAUUAAUAAUUCCCUAUAUUUAUUUCUGAGGAUCCCUCGUCCACGAAGAUUGUUGUGGCACACUAAAUAGCCCCUAAAUCUGAAUCAUAUAGAGUAUAAGCAUGAAAAGAGUACAGAUAAUCAUCAUAUUGUUAUCGAGCAGGUACAAAUUUUCCAAUCUUGUAGCGCAUGAUUGAGUGAACUGAAAAGUGCAGAUCAGAGAUAAGGAUACAAACAAAGAAUUAACUUUAGCUACUUUUGUUGAGGGAUAAUGAUAAUUGUAUCAUGGAACACGAGAGGUUUGAAGGAUGUAAACAAGAGAUUGGCCAUCAAAAGAUUUCUAAGAAAUCACAAACCGGAAUUGGUACUCAUCCAAGAAUCUAAGAAAGAAGAAUUUGAUUUGCACUUCACAAAAUCACUUUGGAGCUCAAAGGACAUUGGAUGGGAUUUUGUCAAAUCUUAUGGAACUUCAGACGGAAUGCUGAUUAUGUGGGAUACAAGCAAGAUAACAGACACCAAAACACUAAAGGGCAGAUACUCUUCAACUGUAAAAUGCAUCACUUUGUGUAGAAAAACUUGCUGGAAAUCCAAUGUGUAUGGUCAGAACGAUUAUAGGGAAAAGAAAUCUUUAUGGCCUGAACUUCUCAUCCUUUUGAAAUUUUGCUUGGAAGCUUGGUGCGUUGGCAGUGAUUUCAACAUCACAAGAUGGGCACAUGAGAGUUUCCCUUUAGGAAGAACAACAAGAGGCUAUUCUGGUUGCAGAAAGAGAUUCUAAUGAAUGUUGCGAGCCUGCCCCAGUGGAUCAUGAGAGGCUCCACGAAUGCAUAGAAGAGUUUUGGCUAUCUAAAGUUUUCUUGGAAAACAUAAUCCGAAUCAAGUGCUCAUUCAAGAUUCAAAGCAAAGAGUUUGUUUUACGUUUUAACUGAUUGACAGUGUAAGGAUUCUACGUGAUUACUUAGCUGUUUCUCCCUUACAAUGGCAUAAACAGAGGCAGCAUUCUGUUAUCUUUAUUUAUAUAUAGCCAAAAUGAGUACACUAGUCAUAAGGAUUCAAAAGAAACAAAAGAACAAUAAAGACAAACCCAGCUUCCUCUUGGAAAAACUGGAUAUACUCCUAGGCUAAGCAGCCGCCAACAUAAGGGUAAAAUAAAACCUAGCCUCCCCUAGACCUAAAAGACCUAUUUAUAUUCCUCCUCUCAUCUUAUUCCUAUUUCUGUGCCUGGGCCCCACACGCACGAUCUCCUCCCAUUCUGCCUCCCAUUCUGCCUUCAUCAUUAAUUAUUUGUCCAUUUACUUUUCUGCCCCUCCUUUGAUAUGUGAAUGAUUGGGGGUCUUACAAUACCCCGGGGUUCUAAGUUCACCUUGUCCUCAAGGUGAAAGUGAGGAAACUGCUGGUUCAAUAGGUAGACUGAUUCCUAUGUUGCUUCACUAUCUGGUAAGUUCUUCCACUUGACCAACCACUCAUUUCCUCCCAACUCCUUGUUCCACCUUAUUCCUAGCACAUUUUCCGGCCACAAUUGUAAUUCAAAAUCCUCAGUGAGGAUGGGCUGUUGUUGCUGGACUACAUGUUGUUUACCCAACUUCAAUUUCAAUUGCGAAACGUGGAAGACAUUGUGAAUGGCAGCCCCUGGCGGUAGUUUCAACCGAUAUGCGACCUCUCCUAUCUCAUCAAUAAUCUCAUACAGCCCAUAAAAUUUUGAGGAUAGCUUUUCACAUUUCUUUCUAGUUAAUGAUCUUUGUCGAUAGGGUAGUAGUUUCAAAUACACUUCGUCACCGAUUUUGAACUUGAGCUCCCUGCGAUUCCGGUCUGCCAUUUUCUUCAUUUUGUUUUGAGCUAUGCAUAAGUUUUCUUUCAAGGCAUUGAUUGCCAAGUCUCUCUCCUUCAACAUGACUUCUACGUCAUUGUUAGGAGAUUUCUUCCAUCCGUAUGAUAGCAAUGGAGGGGGAAUUCGUCCAAAGACCGAUUGGUAAGUAGUUUUGGUGGACGCAUGGAAGGUUGUGUUAUACCAUAAUUCCGCCCAAGGAAUUAGUUUAUCCCAUUUCUUCGGUUGCUCAUUGCAAAAGCAUCUCAAAUAGGUUUCUAGGCAUCUGUUUACUCUCUCGGUUUGCCCAUCGGUUUGGGGAUGGAAAGUCGUGCUUCUCUUCAAAAUUGUGCCACAUGGUGGUGAACAACUCCUUCCAGAAAUUACUAAGGAAGAUCUUAUCGCGGUCGGUAACAAUGGACUUGGGUAUUCCAUGUUUGCUGACCACUUUUUCCAAAAAAAUGGAAGCAACUUACUUGGCUGUGUACGGGUGUUUAAGAGGCAAGAAAUAGGAGUACUUACUUAGGCGAUCGACGACUACCAUAAUCACGUUGUAUCCUCCUACUAGUGGCAGACCUUCGAUUAAGUCCAUGGUCCAAUCCUCCAAUAUCUUGUCGGGGAUAGGAAUGGGUUGAAGAACUCCAGCAGGCUUGGUAGCUUCGAAUUUGUUGCGUUGACAGAUGUCACAUUCCUCCACAUAUCUCUUUACAUCAGCCUUCAUCCCCUUCCAAAACAGUUCCCCACUCAUCCUUUUGUAGGUUCUCAAGAACCCCGAGUGCCCUCCCAGUAUGGAAUCAUUGGUCCAUUUACUUUUCUGUCCCUCCUUUGAUAUGUGUGAAUGAUUGAGGGUCUUACAGACAGCUUGGAGCAUUGGUGGAUUUUUUCAACAUUAUACGGUCAGCAAAAGUGAGGUUUUCCUUUCCGAAAAGAAAUUAUAGAUAUAUUGUGGUAUUGUGGUACAUGCUGGGUCUUUGGUAUAUACAUUCAAUGCAAUAUAGUGCAGUUUUUAUUGGAUAGAUGCUAUAUUCGAGGCAUAUUCUUCUUCUGAACCAAUGAUGUCAAAGCUUUGUUAUUGAAUCUUUGGGUUGAAAGAUUUCAGCAAGUCUUCCAGUUCCAGGCAUAGGAAUGUACCGUCAAAUCAGACUUAAAGCAACAUGGAUGGUUGCCUUUUUUUGGUGCUUCCUUUUUUGAAAGAUUAUUUAUGUUUGCUUUGUAUUUAGUUUUUCUUGUUUGCUCGAGUUCUAGAGGGUUUUGACCAGCUUGUUGUACUUUUGUUGUGAUCGCUCUAGGGUGUCAUCAUAAUAAUGCACCUCCUUGUCUUGGAUUUAAGUUGUAUUUGUUCCUUUGGUCCUUUUUGCUCUUAGUAUAAUUCUCUUUUACUUCGAGCUUUAGUCUCAUUUAUUAGUAUUAAUAAAGAGGCUCAUAUGCAUUUAAAAAAACACAAAGAAUUACCUCCCAUCUGGGUUAUUUGGAGAAGUGAGGAAUAUGCACUUUGGUUUUUCCUUACGAACAACAUCUUCAAUGAGAUCCACAUUCAAAGAAAAGUCCGGCUUCCUUGGAACUGCAGAAUACCAUAGGCAACAUAUAUUGCAACUGUAUGUGACGAAAGCAACAUAUGUAGAUAAGUAGAUUCAAAUAACAGACCAUUAAAAGAAAAAUAUGGUCACUUUGGUAAGCCUAAAGAUUGCUUCUUAAAAAGGAAGAAAUCAAAAUAUGAAGUGAUAAAUAAGUACAUAACUACCUUUAAUGACAAGAGCGCCAUUAACAGCAGCAUCAAAUUCAUACAUCGUGAAGGUAGGAGGGCAGUCUACAAUUUUAUCACCAGGGUCCAACACACAUCUACAACAAUAAUUCAAGAAAUGAUCUUAAGUCUAAGGGAAAGUAAAAAUUCAAAUUUAAAUACUCAUUGACAAGGGAGAGUUGAUUCAGUUUUAACCGCAUAAUCAGAUCAAUGAGUUCAUCUGCACCACAACCCACAAGAAUAUAAUCAGAUUCAAGGCCAGAGUCUAUGGCAAGGGCUGCUCGUAAUUGACGACUUUCAGGAUCAGGAUAGACAUGUGGGAAUUUCAUUGUUCCCAAGGCUUCAAGAACCUACAAACAAACCCAAAUUAUAAUCCAACAUAAUGCAAAACAAACAUAAAUAAUUAGUUGGCAGGUAAAAGAAGAGAGAUAACCUCCCUACGACUGAACUUUUAAGAAACAAAUUUUCAGUUAACGAAGAUUCCUUUGUAUAUAGAAUCAACCAGAAGGAAGGGAACAUGUACUCACGUCAGGGGGAGGACCGUAAGGAUUUUCAUUUGCAUCUAAUUUUAUAAUGUCCUCAGGCUUUCUUCCAAGACGUGUUGACAAAACCUACACGCAAAAAAAGUUAAAGAACCACCUUGAGAGCCUAUAACAUGCAAAUGUGUUCUAAAUGUAAUAUAACACAAUUCAUAAUUUUGUGGGAGUAGAUCCCCCAGUUUAAAGAACUUGUACUCAACGGUGCAAUUGAGUUCAAAACUGGUAACAUACUUUCACUAAGUCAUUAAAUUAAAUAAUAGGUUGUUAAUUCACAAUGUGAUCUGAAAACCAUGAAGAGAAAACAAGAACCUCUUCAAAUGCAUCUAUAUCUCAUUAAUUUACACACCUACCGUUCACUAGAUUAAACAUUUGAAUCAAGCAAGAUAAGAUUGGUUUCAUUUUGUUGGACUGACAUCUAUUCCAUAGUUGGGGUUCAAGUCCUAUUUUUUUAGGUUGUUCUUUUGUAUGCCCUUGUAUAAAUUAAUGAAAAUCCCAGGACUGAUAACAUACACUCCCACUGAGUCAUUAAAUUCCACCGAGGGAUAAAUAAACAAUGUGUUUUCGAAAACCAUAAAAAAAUGUCAUAUAAUCCAACACCAAAAAAGAUACUAUUAACAAUGUUCACAACUGAAUCUAAACAAAUUUUAUAAACUUCUUUACUUACAGAAAUAUCCACCAAUAUCGAUAUAUCCGCAAAUUUUAAAUCUCAAUAUCAAUACUGACAUCGAAAUUUUAAUCCUUGGUUGUAUAUCCUAAUGAAACUUCCAAAACAUAUAUUUCCAUUCCACUAAGUCAAAAAUUUCACCAACGGAUAAAUCCAUAAUGUGCUAUUGAAAACCAUAAAGAGAAAACAAAGAUCUUCUCAUGAGAUGUCUAUAUCUCAUCAACAUACUUUAGCUUUUGAUAUAUUUGUACUGUGCAUCCACAUGGCAAAAAAGACACCAAACAUUCAAUUUUUCUCCAGGCCAAAUUACACACACCUCACACCUCGACUAAACUCAAAUUUCAGACCCUAAUCAGUAAACUAAACUCAAUUAUCUGACCCGUCAAUGUGGCCACCAUUGGGUUAGAAUGAAUGCCUCUUUUAUCACAUGCCCCAUUUCCAUUUGAUCGACCCAAGGUGGUUAGCACCAACAUAAUAAAGGAAAAUAACUUAGCUAGUUAGAAAUAGAAUAUAACAGGAGCAUCAAAGGUCAACGUGGUGUACCUCAAAAGGGAGAAUGGGUUGAUAAGGAGACAAUUUCCUCAAAUGGGGACGAAUAAAAGAAUCACCAGUCAAGCUUUGUUGCGUCUCCUGAACAUGUGCUGGAAUUUGAGAUGUCAUGUUAACAACCCACUUCCUUCUACCUGCAACAGAGCAAUUGGGUCGAUGAGACGAUGGCUCAGAUGCAGGAAGGUUUGUCUUGAAUUUCAGCAAGCACUGAGUGGGAUUUGAAAUAUGAAUCACAGCCAUCAAUCUCUGCACAAGAAAUGACAAAAUACCAGUGAAAUUCGUAUAUUUCAAAGCUGUAGUAUUAAGGUUAGUAAAUGAUGGGAUGGGUAUUAAGGGAGCAUUAUCUGAAUAGAAUAGAAGACAAGUAAGAAAAGGAAUGGUGGGAAUGGAUAUGAAGUGAGAAUGAAGAAAGCAAACGAGGCACAAAGCAGUCAGAACAAAAGUUUGAGUAGAAAAAUUAACCCUAAACCACAGCGUGAUAGCAGAAAAAGAGGAGAAUAAUGGAAUAAGAUUUUGUAAGAGAGUAUUUGUUCUGAGCUUUCACCUUCGUUUGGGGCAACUGUUUAGGAAGUCUACUUUUCAAAUUCUUUUCCAUGCGUUGAAUAGCAAAUGGAUUAAUUUUCCUAAACUAUAUAUUUCUCAAUUAUAAUCAUUACUUUUUAUAGUUAAAAUUCUUUAAAGUAAGCUUGAAUUUUCAUCUACUCUCAAUUUUCUGAUUUUCAUUAAUUUUAAAAAACAAUUAUUGCUGGUUUGUUGUUGAAUUUUUGGAAAAUUGUUAAAAAUGAAAAGAAAAAAAAAAAAGCUAUUUACCGUUGAUAGAAAAAACGGAUGUAAUGCUCAUUUUUUUCAAGUGAAAAGAUUUUGUUAUUAAUUGGUAUUGUCAUUCUCACUCUUAAAAAUAUAUUUAUAUAUAAUACUAUUUCUACUCAGUUAAUUUUGAGAAAAAAUAUUACUUUCAAAUACUAAAUUUAAAUUUUAUUAUAUUUAUGAAACUUAACUUUAAUUAAUUCUUCCAUUCUUCCAUUGAUUAAUGAUUAAAUUAAAUAUCUUAAUUUAAUUCAAAUUGAAUCAUAUUCAAAUAUAAAUUUCUCUAAUAAUCUAUAGUUUUAAUGCAUAUUAUAUACACAUUCAAGAAUCUAAUUUAUAUUAAAUUAAUACUUGAACUCAUUCAAAUAUUUUAUUUUUUCAUAAAUUAAUUUUAAAUUAUAUUUAAAUUUUAAUUUAUAUAAUAAAAUUUAAUUAAAAUAUAGACUUUAUAUUAUAAUGUAUCACUAUACAUUAUAUUAAUUUCCAAAGUAAAUUUGAACAUUUCCAAUUACGACUAAUAUAAGUAAACAUCUUUUUACUCUUUAAGAGAUAGGAAGAGGACCUAAUGAACCUAUAUAUCAGAAGUUACAACGAUAUGAGAUUAAUUACCUAAACUCAUCAACCACAUUAAUCAAUAUUCGUUAACUGUAUGUACACUUUACUAAAGACUCACAACACUAUAGAUAUAUUUAUGUGUCCAUAGAAAUAGACCAAUAUCAGAAACCCCUAAUGAACAACUUGUUUAUGGUUCAACCACUAAACAGAAACCCCUCUUGUGUCAUAGAGAAAGUAUGGCCCUUUGUUCAAUUCUUAGAGACACCAUUUAAGGGAACACUCAUCUACUUAUCCUAAAGUCGGGAGGGAGUGAAUGUCAUCUUAUGUGAUUAUGUUUCUAGCUCUCCACUCAGUCUUGUCCCCAAAAUGAUAAGCAAAUUGAGUCGACAAUCUGACCACUCUCAUAUGUACAAAUUAAAUGACAAUCCCUCACGAACAGGAGUUAGCAUGCUAUAUGGAAUUCAGUCCUACCCGUUUUAGGGUUAGUAGAUUGGUUGUUCCCUUAAGGACUGAAUCCAAGUCUUGAACAAAGGGUCUCACCUGUUCAUUGGCUCGAAAGGGAUUCAGUUUAUAGGUUGGACCUAAAACCAAUUGUUCAAUAGCGGAUCAAUGGGAUUUAAGGAGCAAGAUGUAGUCUCGGGGGUAAAACUGUAUUUUGACCGAGCCAAGGUUAUGAACAACGUAUGUGAAGGAUUAACUUACUGAUCAUGGUCAUAUCAUAUCAACACAAAUAUAUCUAUGAUGACAAGAGUGCAACUAUGAGACUUUUUUAUGGAAUGACUUGUUAGUUAAUGAAUGUUGAUUAGCUCGCCGUAAAAGAUUUUAGCUAGUUAAUCCCGGAUCGUUGGAGACAUGAUCUAUAGGUUCAUCAGGUUCCCUACUAGCUCAUAUAAAAUAAACUUAGAACAAUAUGAUGGAAUGAUUCGAAUUGUUUGAAUUAAGUGAUGAGAGAGAAACAAAUAAGUAUAUGUGAUAUAGCGAUCGGUUAUCAAAUUAGAGAUAGAGCUUUAUGUUUAAAUGAGAUUUAAAUAUUAAAAGUAUGAAUGUGAAUUCAUAUUUAGAAGCUCGAAAAUGAUGGAAAUAGUUAAAAUUGUAAAAUGUCAAAAUGUUGACUUUGACCGUCGAUAUAUUCAAAUAUAAUUUGAAUCUUGAGAAAAUAAAUACGGAUUCAUGCUUGAAAGAUCGAAAUUAGUCAAGACGAACAAAAUUUUAAAAAAUCAAAAUGUUGACUUCUGAUUUUGAAAGUCAAAGUUUGACUUUGACCAAUGACUAUUUUGCCACUUGACCAGAGUUAGUGGGAUAAUCCAACAUUUUUUUGGAUAAUUCCGCUAACUCUAGUGGGCUAGGUGUUGCCACACUAUGAAGACAUUAAAAAUCUACUAAUUGUUAGUGGGUUAUGUUUUAUCGGCCCAUUAGCUUGCAUGUACAUGCAACUUUGCAUGUAAAUUCAUCAUAAAUUUGGGCUCUUGGGUCUUUCGAAAGAGUCGGACUUUUUGAAGAACAAAAUUAGACUGCUGAUUUUUCCUUUGUAAAUUUUUUUAUAAAAAAUUUAGCCCAACCUUAUUCCACAAUUCCCUUUCCAUCUAUUUCUAUCUCUCUCUCUCGGUUUCUUCAUCCAAUGGAUCCCAAAACCUGGUUCUAAGUCCAAAGGAUAAUAGGUGACUACUGGUGGUGGUUCGAGUUGUGAUCAAGGAGUAAACGGUUAAUUCGAAAGCUACAAAGAUAAAUUUACCUUAAACCCUAAUUUCUAAUUAAUUUAGGGUUUAGAUCUAUGCAUGUUAAUCUUAAGUAAUUAUAGUAAACUUUAGAUCCUUUUUCGUUGCGCGUGUCUAAUUUCCAUCAAUGUUUGUGAAAUGUUGUUUAAAAAUCUAGUCAUUCACUGGGUUCUUUUAGCUCACACUUUUCAAAUUGUUUUUCCACUUUCUAGGUAGAGGUCAUGUACUCGGAGCUUGAUACCAUGUUGUAUAUAUGUUAGAAGAUCCUAUUUUCCUUUCGUAUGUGGUCUAGUUGUUUUGAACUUAUGUACAUAUUGUCAUGUAAUUGUACUUGACUAGAACUAGAGUUGCUUGUGGGUGGAUUUUGUAUCCAAGUAAACUAGGGUCGUGUUAAAUAUCUAUAUAAGAUUUACUUUGGAUUUUGAUAAUGGAUGGACUUGAUAAUUUGUAAAAAUACAAGUUAUUGUAGCCUUUUAGGUAAAACAAUGGAGUCAAAAUGCGAUUAUCAAAAUGCAUAGCUUUUAGUGCAAAAUUGUAAUAUCAAGAGAAUGAACCCUUACAUAAGUCUUAAUGCCUGAUUAACCACUUUCAAGUAUCUUUUCCAUGUAGGUGGCGAAAAGAAGAAAUGAAGCGAGGAUCGCGCAUGUUAACACGAGAAAAAGACUGACAAUUCAUGAGUCGCAAGGCGAAAUGCCAGCACAACAUUACAUGAAAUGAUUCGCUAGUAGACAAGAGUAGUAGUUGGGGAUGAUGUGACAAGGAACAACUACUUUUUGUGCUGACAUUUGUAGGCAAGGACAAUUGUACAACAUAGACAAGGACAAAUGUGCAUCAUGAGCAUUUGAUUUCCUACAUAAAAUAUGCCUAUAAAAGAAGUCCAACUCCACCAUGAAGAUUAUCAAUAGAGGAGGUCAUCUCUUAAGGAGGCCGGUGAAGGACGAGUUUUAGAGUCAUUCACUAUUUAUAGUAGUGUUCUUCCUUCAUCCUUUCUUCGGUCAACAUUUGAGUGAGACCUUAGAGAGAGACUAGAAAGAGAGAAGUUCUCCCUUCUCAUUUCCCCUAACUUGUAAAAGAGUCAAGGAUUGCAAACCAAUACAUUCUGCGGCUUUGCCCAUAUCUUUUCUUUCCAUUUUUGUAUUUUAUGAUGUAUUGUAUGAAUGUUCUUCAUUUUAUGGCUAAAAGACCUACAUUAUGAAUACAAUGCAUUUCCAUCCACUGUCUCUUCCAUUUCUGUACUAUUCAUCUUGUUGAUGUGUUUUAAGUAGUUUCAGUUCAUCUAGUUCAUCUUAUGUACUUGAUAAGGAUUCUUUAUUUAUAUCAUUGUUUUUAGCUGAGUUGAACUCAAUCGUUUGGCCAGUCUUGGUCGCCAACUUCUCGAGAGAGUAAGUAGCUAAACAUGCGCAAAAAGGAAGUUUGGAAACAAACUCCAUUAUGGCGUUUUGACUCCAAUCAUUUGUGUUUCGAAAGAAGAACAAGUGUGGUGUUUAGACGCUGAGAAGUUUCUCGCCUUAAAUAAAGAGUCAAAUAUGACACUUUGCCACGCUCAACCUCGUACAAUUUUAAAAUCUUGUAAUUUGAUACGUGACAUAACUUGAGCAAUCCUAGCGCCUUUUAAGCGAAGCGCCAGAACACUCCGCUUAGGACCUUAAGCUUAGCUUAAUUGCUUGAGUACUUGACACUUAAACUUAAUUUCAAACUUUAGACAAUAAGAUACAUCACAAUGUAGCAAAUAGAUAAACAACUUCUUUUAUUAACUUUAACCAUGCGGUCUACCACACAAAUUAAAUAUAUCCUUGAUACAAAAACUUAUAACAACUUAAAAUAAACGCCUUGCAAGAACUUCCUUGUCUAGCAAUCAUUUUAUCCUCUCUUAUCUUGACCUUAACGUCUGUUCACUUGGGGAGAGAGCUUAAAACAUAAGUCAAAAGACUAAGUGAGUAAGUUUUAAGAAAACCUUUUGGAAACACAAUUCGUAACUCUACACAUGUAAGCUUAAUAUAUCACUUAAACAUGCUUAGCUCUUAACCUUACACGUAAACUCCUGUUAAUUCAAGACUAGACAUUUUUCUCGCCUGGCUUCACCUUGCGUUGUACUCCAAACACCUAUUUGUACUUAAACGUCGAAUGUCUUCUCGCGUCGCCUUACUUCAACGUGGACCAAAACUUCAAACGCCUAAGGCCAACCUUCAAAACUAAAACUCCUUUCAAAAUGUCUUUUCUUAACACUUAGUAAAAAAUUGAACAUUCUAUUCCAGACACAGUUCUUACACACUUAUAAAUAAAGAAGCCUAGAUGUAUAUUGUUUGGUUUAUCUUUACCAUUUGUGUCCUAAAAGGAGAGCAAGUAUGGUGUUUAGGCGCCAAAAGGUUGUUCGCCUUAAAUAUAAGAUGGUCAAGUGAUCUACAUUGCAUCAAGGACUUGCCACAUAGCUUAGAUAGCCAAGAAUACUAAGACUUUCCUUCAUCCCUCUUAACACAAGUUAGUUCGCAUUCCAUCAUCUUUCCAUUUCAUUUCCCCCUACAAAAUCCUCUGUAUAAAUAAGUAGAUUAGUAUAGUUUUAUACUAUAUAGAAUUUAUACUGCCUGGUUGAGAAGUAAUCAUUAUAACUAAGCUAGAAAUUUCAUGUGUUCGACUUUGACUUACCCAAAAAACCUCUCGCUUUGCUUACAUUUGGGUAAGCGUGAUGAAAACUUAAACUAAACGUUAAUCAUGCAUGAAGCAACACAUACGUAGGAGAUACACUUUUUAUCGCAUAUUCCUAGUCUAGACACUUGUUAUAGUCACAUUAGUAGAACCUUUCAUGAUACAUAUUUACGAAUUAAUAACGAAACCAAGUUCUAGCACUGGAGUUAACAUUUUUUAUUGCAUAUUCCUACCACUAGAGUUGUUGUCUUUUUAUACAUAUACCUUUCUCUAGAGUGUGUUAUUUGGCCUCUACAUGUUUUUCAUGUAAGAUGUUAGAGGUUAAGAGUCAACUGGUGUUGUUGAGAAGGAAACAAAAUCAUUUGGUUUCACGUCGUCUCUUAUACCGAGAGGAGGUGGUCUGGAAGGAGGUGUGACACUGAGAGCUGGUGGCCAAGGCAUUUUGUGUAGUGAAAACAUAACGGCAUCGUGGCGUCCAACACUUUGUGUGCCCCUAGUUUUCGUCAAUACUUUGAAGUAUCACUGUGCCCAAGGGCAGCACCGCGACGCCAUGCUAUAUGCACAAAAAUUUGGGCUUUCUACAUUUCGACGGUGCAUCUAGCAUCGUGGAGUCGAGUCUCUAACUUGUCAAUCAUUGAAUUCUUGCACUAUUAACAUUCUAACCCUCUAAUAACACUCGUUUUGCUUGAAAUGAACAUUAAGGCCAAGAAUGAUCUGGAUUGAGCUCAACACCUAUGUACAAACGUAAAAUACCAAAAUGGUCCCGAUUUAAGCAAAAUAAGAUAGUGCAUUUUCAACGUUAUCAAUCAGUUUUUGCUUCACCUUUUUUACAAUAAAUGAUUCCACAACGUUAGUGCAUAAUUUUCAAAUGUUGAAAUAAUAAGUUUUACAUUUUCCCUUUCACUACAAUGAUGUCGACCAAAUAUACCCUCAAUUUUCUCGUUCCAAAGCAAAUAUUCGUGUAUUUCAAAAAAAAAAAAACAAUCGAAACAUGUUUUGAUUGACAUAUGACAACUAUUCUUUGAAAACUUUUGUUUGUGUAUAAACUUAAAAAAUCAAGAUGCUUAGAACACGUAGAAACUUGAUAGCUUAAUUGAUGUACUUGCUUGACCUAGUUGCUUGAAUUGUUUUAAAUUUUGCACAACUUUUUUGUCCCAAUUUCAAAGUCCCAACCAUCUCACUUCUAAAUUUCCUUUUUUCCAAUUAAUUUUUUUCCUUUCAGUUUUCACACUUUUUUCAUGCCUUCCAUCACUCUUUUUCAACCGUUUUUGUUUUGCUUUUCUUACCGUUUGAAACCAAACCUAAACGAUAAAUAAAAAUCUCUAAUAAUACUAAAUGAUAUGAAAAUCAAGAAUUUGAAAAAUUAAAAACUCAAUUGAUGAACUCUUAACAUCAAAUUCUCAAAUACUCAAAUAAAUUUAACAACCAUCGAAAAAUAAUGACUAAUUUGAUUAUAUUUUAAUCUAAAGGCCAAGAGAUAAAAGAAUGAAGGUUUGAACAAUCCAAAAGUAACACACUUAAAAACUCUUUACAACCUAAAUAUUCUUCCAACAUAAGAAAAUGACAAAACUAGUCAUACUUAAAUGUUAUUAAAAACACUAAAAAAUAUUAUAUCAAAAUAAUUAAGGCAGUUCGUAUCAACUUGGAAAAAAUUGUCCUAAUUUUCCUCUUCCCUACAUCUCCAAUUUAAUCUUGGAAAACGUAUAUUCGUAUGUAUAUAAUUUCCACUUUCCUUUUUUUUGAACAAAUUUCCACAUGCAUUCAAUUUCUAAAAAUAUUCACAAAUUCUUCUCACUUUCCUUGUCAAAUUAAUUUUAAUGUGAAUUCAAUUUACAAAAAUCACCCUAAAAUUCAAAUGAUAGAAAUUCAAUUUACCUAAACUUUGAAAUUUCCUUUUAUACAUGCAUCCCUCAAUUGUUUGCACUUAUUCACAAUUUAGUUAAGUAAUCACCAAUUUUUGAAAUUGAUCUAUUUUGGAAGUUAAUGAAAACAAAACUUGGCUCUCCAAACAAUUAUUAUUAUUAUUAUUGCCAACAUUAGAGUCAAAUCCUUGUAGUUUGAAAGAUAUGUUCUAUAAUUUAAAGAAAAUUAAAUAAUGACAAUAAAUCUAACUUCGGGAUACCAUAAUAUUUUCAAAAAAUUAGAAUUCAACCCUAUCACUCAAAGUUCAAAUUUGGGAAAUUUUUAAAAAUAGUAGAUUCGACAAAAUAUUUACAACCUAUAACAAAUUCUAUCACUGAUACUUAUUGAUGUUUAAAGACUAUAUUUUAACUUAUUUUGCUAUUUUUAAAAAUACUCUUUAAAAUUUUGAUAAAAAAUGCGACUGAAGCUAUUUUAUACGUCGGCCAAAUACCACACUUAGAAUAAUUGUUUAGAUUAGAAAAAAUACCCCUCAACUUUGCAUUUUAUGUAAAAAAAAUAUAUAUAUCUUUGAACUUUUAAAAGUUUCAAAAUUUUCCUCAAACUAAAAGAAAAUACUCUUCCUGUUAGUUUUGGAUAGGAAGAGUUAAAGUUUUAUUUAAAAAAUGCUUGUGAACUAUUUGAAAAAAUUUUGAACCGUAGAAAAUUUUUGAAAGUGCCUGAACUUAAAGAAAAAGUUUGAAAAAUAACUCUCACGCUUAGCAUAUGAACUGCAACGUUUAAUAUCUCGUUGCAAAAAUAAUUUUAAAUUAAAAAUAUCUCUAUCAUUAUUGUAUAGUGAUAAAUUUAUUUGAACUUUUCUUAAGUUAAAAAAAAUCGAUUUAAAAACAAUUUAUAUUGGCUUUGUUGGUAACAAUUUGGUUUUUUGAGGUUUUUUUUUUUAGUAUUAAGCUAUAAACAUUACUUUCAUCUCCAAAUUUCUUUAUUUCUUAUUUACUUUUUAUUGAAAAUGGUCUUAGAUUCCUCCUAAAGCAAAGAUUCUUUUCUAAGGAACUUGAGCUUCCUAGCGCGUGAGGACUCCCUCUCAUUGUGUUGUAUCUUUUUGUUGAACAAAAUUCUCUUAAAUGAUUUAGGCUCCCCUUGAGGGAAUGAAAUUUCCAUAGCAGAAGCAUGCAAAUGUCAUGCAAUUGGAAUUCAAUUUGGAAAACACACAAAAUACAGAUAAUACAAAAAGUAGGAUUAAAUCUCGAACCUAUGAGCAUGCUUUUCUAAGGAGGAACGGGAAAAUACUUACAUUUGCAUAUUUUUCCUUUUUCUCGUUAUUCUUGAAAAUUAGAGAAGUUGAAUUCUCCCCUCUAUAUAGCUUAACCAAUUUAAGGAUGAGGGAGGAAAAGUAAUUUAACAAUUCUUAUUAAUUAAAAUAAAAUAAAGAUUAAUUUUCAUAAAUAUCACAAACCGCCAGUGUAACGAAAUGAAAAAUCUAAAUAAUCGUGUACCAAAAACUGAUUUAAGUAGCCAAAUUUCAAUGAUCAAAUCUAAGCGAUCGUAUAUCAAAUAUAAACGAUUGUGUAUCCAAAAGUAUUGAAAAACAAAUCAUUUAUAUUUGACUACCCAAAUUUAUAGUAAAAUCUAAAUGAUCGUGUACCAAAUAAUCUUGAAAAAAAUAGUUUAGAUUUGGGUAACUAAAUUUAAACUAUCCGUAGGAAAGAAUAGUCAUUAAACGAUUGUUUACCAAGUAUAUUACACAUGUCUCGGUGCUAAUUAAAUUAAUGAUGAGAUAUUUUUAAUAUUUCACAUUGUUGACCUAUGUGUUUUACUUGUUUUUGAAAUUAUUAUGUGUAAAUAUUUUACUGUUUUGUUAUAUUUUUUAAAAGAUUUCUAAAAUUAAUAUAAAUUUAAACCAUAUUAUAGUUUAAUUCUCUCGUAUGAUUUAUAGUUCUAAUAUGAAUUAGAUUUAUAUUAAUUUUAACCUACAUUUUAUUUAUGAAUCUUAUUCAUUUUAUUAUUAUUAUUUGAAUCAUAUUUAAAUUCUAAUUUCUCUCCUAAAAACUUUAUAUUAUAAUGUAUCAAAUACAUUAUAGUAAUGAUAUCAUAUUCAAUUUAUUUUAUUUAAUCAAUUUGAACAAUUCAAAUUAAACCAAAAUAAAUUUGAUUUUCAUUAAUAAUAUCGAGGUAAUAAGGGGAUCUUAUGAACCUACAAAUUGAGGCUCCAAUGAUACGAGAUUAAUUAAUUAAACUCUUUAAUUAAAUUAAUCAUCAUUCAUUAACUAUUAGUCAUUAUACUCGGUUAAAGAUUAAUGGUUACACUUUUUUUUUUAUUGUAGAUAUAUUUCUAUGUCCAUUAAAUAUAACUAAUCGACAAUGUAAUAACUCUUCACAAAUUACCGUCGUGUCACCAAAAUAAGAUAUCCAACUUUGUCCAUCUACUACAGUUCGUUAAGGCUAUCAUUUAUACAUGAUCCACUUGUAUGUCUUCACAUGCAUGUUUAGGUUACAUAAGAUAACUUUGGAUGUUAGUUUAUUCGUUUUGUAAGUUGAUGCAAUUAAAUGUCAAAUAAAAUAAAACACUUUAUUUUAUUUAUUUUAUUAGAUAAAUAAAAUGUUUGUACAAUAUAAUUAUAAACUACAAGACCACGAGAUUUAGACCAUCAACUCUAACACCUCUAAGCUUAGUGAAUCCCUUCUCAAUGAAUCACAAUAUGCAAUAGUAAGAAGAAUAGAGUAUAUCUCCAACACGUGUAACAAUCUCUUCUUCUAACACAAGCUAAAACAACUAAAAUAAGAUAACUUGCUCUUAAGAUUAACUAAAUAAUCGACUCUAACUAAAGGACAAAGUGUUUUUUUUAAAUAUGCACGACAAAAUCAUAACGAGAAAACCUUUCCAGAGCAACCAAGCACUUAAUAAAGGAAGAUGAGAUAGAAGAAACAAAAAUGCAAAAUGCGAAAUCAAUAUUUAUGUAGACAACAAUGCAAUGCAAUGACAUUUCUGAUACCCAAAGCCAAAAGACAAAUAUUGUCAAUCUCAUAAAACUUAAUGACUUUCAAUAAAUUUAUCAUCGUCCCAACGACUAAGACAAUUUUAAUUCAAAGUUAUUUUUUCAAUAAGAUAUUUAAUUCAUAUACUAAUUUCGAGGUCUUUUUAAAAAAACUUUUUAAAGGUAUUUUUUUAAACUUUCAACAAUUAUGUAUUAUUUUUUAAACAAAACGUCAACAAUUUCCAUUCAAGCUAACUAUAGUCCAACCUCUUUUUGGUUAAGGAUAUUUUUUUAAUAGCAUUUUUUUUAUAUAAAAUGCAAAGUUGAUGGGCAGUUUUAAUAAUUUAACCAAAUUACUUAUUGGAAGAGAACUAUAAAAACAACUCAUGAAAAUUUCCAAAAGUUUGUUCAUUAUAGCAAAGAGUUCUGGAAUGACAAAGAUUGUAGCAGUAGCCUUGCAUAAUUGUAGUAGAAAUAACAAAGUAUCAACCUUUUUUAGAUCUACUUAACCAAAAAAAAAACCAAGAAAAACAAAACUAACAAGAGCAAAAUCCCACCUUUCAUCAAUGACUACACUACACUAAAUCUCAAGCAGUAACUGCGGCUUGGCUUGCCAGCCUCUUCCUGGCUUCUUCGAUGAUGGAUAAUUUAAUACCCUUGCCCUUAGGUAGGGACACCCAUGGCUUAGUCCCCUUGCCAACUGUGAACACAUUGCCCAGCCGAGUAGCAAAUUCGUGCCCAGUUGCAUCCUGAAUGUGGAUUGUUUCAAAGCUUCCCUUAUGCUUCUCCCUAUUCUUUAUCACUCCAACCCUGCCUCUGUUUCUUCCACCGGUAACCAUCACAACAUUUCCUACAUCGAACUUGAUGAAAUCUGCAAUCUUGUUGGACUCGAGGUCCAGCUUGAUGGUGUCAUUCGCCUUGAUUAAAGGGUCAGGAUAACGGAUUGUGCGUCCAUCAUAGGUGUUCAGAUAAGGGAUGCCCUUUUGCCCAAACUGUACGGAGCGAACUUUGCACAGCUUAUACUGCAAAAAGUAAUAUGAAAGUCAAGCUUAAAUCGUCCAAUUAUAUCAUGAACCACAAACGGUGUCCAGCACCCAGCCUGUUACUACUCCAGAGGGUUAUAAGAUAUUGAAAUACUUCCCUACACUAACGUCACAUGAUAAUAAUUUGAAAAGGUAGAAUGUCUCCCCAACUGGAGAAAGAGCUAAAUCUCUCCCUUAUGAUUCAUGAACAAUUGAUGCCAAAAACUUUGUAAUUGCAUCUAUUUUACUUUGAAACUAGAAUACUUUAUACAACAAGAUUGUAACAAAUAGGUCAAAUUUCAACAUCAAAAGGACAGUAGCUAACCUUGGCCUCCUCAUCCCUAACUGAGUGUAAACGAAAUCGGCCUUUUGUGUCAUAAAGAAGCCGGAAAUUCUCACUUGUUUUGGGAAUUGACACAACGUCUGAAGAGAAGGCACAGAAAAAUAUUAGUGUUGUGCUUAAAAAUGUAAAUACAAAAGCAAUAAACAGAAUUGCAUCUUCCACGAAGAACGGGAAGAAAAUGCUAAAACAAAAUGAUGGUAGAAUUAACACUAAAGCCCCCAGCCAUUAGUAAUAGCCUUCCUCUACCAUGAGGUGCUUUUGUAAACUAGCUAAGAGUGAGUGAGUCAGAUAGUUGAUAAAAUAAGUUGGUCUGUUAUUUUGAAUUGUUAGCAUUAAUUACAAACCUGAAACCACUUUUCCCCGAUAAAUAAAGGCCAUCUCCGCUCAUUGAGAGCUGGAGAAUAUUAUUCAUUCAGAAGUACUCUUGGUUUUAGACCAAUUGGUAAUAGAGCUCCAAGAACCCUCAGACUAUGACCAGAAAAAGGGUAGCAAACCCAAUUGCUGGGGAUCUAUGCACGUGAAACCAAGAGGCAAAAAAAACACUUGUCCUCUAUCCCAGAACAAGUGUAAGCUUGCAAGUAGCAAACCCAAUUGCUGGGAAUCAUCCAGAUGUUUGACACGCAGGUUCGAAAUCAAAUGUCUGAAAAGUAAAUGCCUGUGAACUUAUUUGAUGGGACUCUAAUGCCUAGGUAUUAUAAAUGCCAGUAUUUGGAAAUCUGAAUUUUCUGAUGAUGGUGUUUGGGGUGCUGAUUUUGAAUUCCUAGGUUUAGUUAAUUUGUUUAGUUAUUUUUAUUAAUUUUACGUCCUAAAUUUAUUUUGUAUCAAAUUUUUAAUUGAUUUUUUUUAUAUUUUGUACCUCUAAUUUAAUUUAUUGACUCUAUUGAUUUUAAUAACAAUAAUGUAAAAACAAAAAAUUUCAAAAUUAGAUAACAAUAAUUUUGAUUACACAUGCAUUAACAUGAAUGAUCUAAGUAGGAAUAUUACAAACCAUUCACAAAAUAUAACAAAUUAUGUAAUCAGAUGGAGUUUACAAAAGUUCUAGUUAAGCAACAUUAAAAAUGGUCUAAUAUGUUUCAAAAUAAUAAAAUAAGCAUAACCAAAAGGAUCAUUCAAAAGUGAAAAUCAAAUAGAGUUAUGUUUAACUAUAGUUAUGGUUUUCUUUUUAUGACACACAUGUAAUGUAUCUAAAAAUACUUCAUCAAAAGAGGUCUAAAUAAAAAUAAGUCAAUUCAAGUGAGUCUGGAGUCUUUUAGUUAAAUUGACUAAUGAAAAAAAUGAAAAAUGUUAUUAAACUAAAAAUAUUUAAUUUAUUUAAAAUUUUCACUAUAUUAUCAAUAUACUAAUAUUUAAUUUAUACUCGAGAUCACAAUAGAUAGGUCAUCAAUUUUCAUGAAAAAAUAUAACAAAAUAAACAAAAUCUCCUAAAAUGAAGGAAAGAUUAAUUUUAAAUAAAAAAUAGAAAAGAGAUCAUUAAAAAAAAUGAUCUAAUAAUAAUAGUUAUAAAAAAACUCCAUAAGAAAAGAAAAUAGAAGAAUGAAAAAAUAAGUAUUUUAUAUAAUAUUAUUGUGAUUAAAUCAAAGACAUAUAUGGAAUGACUCAGAAAAAAAAAGUUUUUCAAAAAUUUAUUUUUAUUAAUUUUUCAUGGUUUGCAAAAGUUGGAAAAGUGGUGGUCGAAAGUUCGUCAACCGAGUUUGUCAGAAAUGACACCUAGUGGUCGACUGACAAUGGUCACUAGGGUGGUGUUUGUAGUUGAUGAUUUUCUAGAUUGAAUUAGAAAAAAAAGUAAUCCAUGGGCUUGAAUAGUGUUUACUAUUCAAUCCCAUGAGAAAGAGUGUAGGAAGCCUUGGUGAAGACGGUCAUUGAUCAACAGUUGUCAAUUUUAAGACAAUUGGUUGGUCAUCGACCAUCAUGGCAAUCGAUCGUCAAGGGUUAUGGCUAUUGACCAUUUACCAUCAAUAAGAUCGUUUGUUAAUAGGCAUGAGAUCGAUAAUUAAUGAUAACGAUUGGUUGUCGUCAAUCAAGAUGUUCAUUGAUAAUCAACGAUCAGGACGAUCUACAAUGACAAUCUGGAGCCAACGAGUAAAACAAUCGGUUGUUGUGACCGUCGAUCGAUCAUGAUCGAUCAUCGUGGUUGAUCAUGAAGUUGGCUAACAAUUGUUGCCAACGAUCAUUGAUAAGACGUUGAAGUGAAAUUUUUUCUAAAACAUAUGACAUUAAAUAAUUAUAAAAAAAACAUAUUCCAAACCCCUUAAUCCCAGGAAUUUUAUUCCAAGGGAACAAACAUGGGUUUGGCUUCAAAUGCCAAACCCCCUAAUUCCAAAGCCACGAGCCAAACACCCCAAUAAUGCCAAAAGAACCAAUUCAAGAAUGGAGGAAGAAAGGUAGGUGUGGCAUGGGCAGCUGAGGCAUGUUCAAAAUCAGCAAGAAACCAUUGAAGAAAGAGGUAAAAAAGUAGUCAUUUUCGCCAAAGACAGUUCCAGUUCCAAGAACGCCAAGAACCUCGACCAAAUUUUCAAGAAUGAUACCAACAAUUUCAAGAAUGAGAUUCUUCAAGUGAGGAAGAUCAAGAAAAUGACUUUGUUAAUUAUAGAAGACAAGACAAUCAACAUGUGGCAAGAGAAGAUCAUUAUGAUUACAAGAUGAAGAUAGAUUUGCCACUUCAUAGUGGGAAAUGUGAUAUUGAAGUAUUCUUGGAUAAAGAACACCGAUAAUUUCUUUGCAUAUUAUAAUAUAUGAAUAACUUUGAGCAUAAAAAGGGGCAACCGGUGGCCUUAAAACUAAGACCAAGUGCAUCAACUUGGUGGGAACAACUCGAGGUCAAUAGUAGAGGCAAGAAACCAAUCCGUUUUUGGAAAAAGAUGAAGUGUUUGAUGAAGGAGCGUUACACCCACCCAGUUAUGAACAAACACUAUAAUCAAUAUUAAAAUUGUGGACAUGGCCUAUGAUCCAUAGCUAAUUACAUUGAAGAAUUCCACCGAUUGGAAGCAAGAACAAAUUAGGUGGAGAAUGAGGAACACUUAAUUGCAAGAUUCAUUGGUGGCAUGUAGGUGGACAUCAAAAAAGGUAAAACUACGACAUUUUCAAUUGUUAGUUGAUGGAAUUAUUUGUGCUAAAAGAAUGGACGAAUUGAACAAAGUUCACUCCAAGAAGAAUGCAAGAAAAAAUCCUUGGAACACUUUGUAGGCAAAAAACAACCAAAAUAUGGCCAUUCUUUCAAAAUUCGAGUGAAUAAGAGAACUCAAAAUUUGAAUAACGGGCUCAUAAUGAGAAAGUGUUCUAACUGUAGCCAAACAAGAUAUUUGUCUAAUGAAUGUAAACAAAGAAAAACAAUAGCAUAUGGAGAUGAUGAAGAGAAUUCUUUGGUUGGGUGAAAAAAGGUGGAGAGGCUCAACUAAAUGAGAUUUGCCUAGUUACUCUUUCAAUUGGAAGUAAACACAUGGACCGAAUUGUUUGCAAUAUGUUAGAUAUGGACGUACAUCACAUUCUAUUUGGAAUACCUUGGCAAUUUAAUACUCGAACCUUGCAUAAUCGAACAUUGCACAAGAGAAGAGAGAAUACUUAUGAAUUUCAAUGGAUGGGGAGAAAGUGGUAUUACUCCCAUUGAAUAAUAAAAAUGAUGACAGAGUUAGUUCUAAGAAAGAUCGCAACAAUCAUUAGCUUAGCACAAUCAGUGGAAAAAUGUUUGAUAACGAAAGGGAGGUUGAUAUAUUGGACCUUGUGAUAGUUGAAAAGGCAGAAGAGACAAUAGUAAACCUCCUCUAGAAGUACAGAAGUUGUUUGAUGAGUUCCAAAGACAGUAAGUUUUGAUGUUGCGGUGGUUGUGAUAGAUCAAUUAAGUAAAAUGGCCCUUGGCUUAGGAAAAAUCUCAGAGGGUGCUUAACUUUGUAGAAGGGGACCUUGUAAUUCAUCUACGCAAAGCUAGAUUUCCUACUGGCACUUACAAUGAAUUGAAGAUAGGCAAUUGGGCCUUUCAAAGUGUUACCAGUGUUUUCAAAGCGCAAGCCACAAGGCACACCUCAAGGCAACAAGUCACUUCAUUGCCUCUAGGCAAGAGGCAACAAAGAGGUGUCACCAGAGCGAAGCAAGACGCAAUAAAUAAAUAAAUGAAUAAAAUAUUGAUUGUUAAAGCCUUAAAAUUAAUUAAUACUAAAGACUAAAUAUAAAUAACAUAAAAAACAAUGAAGUAUAACACUAAGCCUAAAGCGUAGGGGGCACUAUAACCGAAGGAAAACAAUCUCAAAAUGAUGAGUGAUUACUUCACUAAUUCAGUUCAUAAAAUCAACAGUCAAUUCCAAGAAUAAAAAAAAAACAAUUUAGCAUGCUCUUAUAAUAACACCUAUAGUGGCACUCUAAAAAAGGGUCAGUAGACAUUGGAAUUCAAACAAUGGUAAGGUUACAAAGUUCAAGAUAACGUACCCAUGAAACCAGCAGGGAAAGUCUUGUCUGUCCUAACCUUCCCAUCGACCAAAACAUGUCGUUGCAUUAAUAUUGCAAUUACCUCACGGUACGUGAGGGCAUAUUUGAGUCGGUUUCUCAAUAUAAGGAUCAAAGGGAGGCAUUCCCUCGACUUGUGAGGUCCAGAUGAAGGUUUGGGGGCCUACAAAGAGAUUUGAGAGGUAGAACUGUCAGAAAUAAGCGUAAUGCAUAAACUCGAGAGAAAAAAUAAAAUAAAUGAAACAACAAAUUUGACUCACAAAUGCACCACCAAGCUUGUCAAGCAUCCAAUGCUUCGGAGCAUUGAGCCUCUUUAAAUGCUUCUUCAGUCCCCUUGCCUGUCAUCGCCAUAGGCAUUUAUUUCAAAGAAAAAUGUGUCUAUUUAGAACAACAAAACACAAGCAUAUACACAGAAAUCCGCACAUCAUGAGGAAAAAUAAAUAACAGUGGACAAAACCGUGCCAAUGGCAAUACUCAUCUUGCAUGUAGAAUACAGUCCCAUACAAGGACACAUAAAUCAAUUUAUACUUAAAUAGAACGAAGCCAUUGGUGAAAACUUUCACAUCGUUGUGCCCAGAAAAUUGUCUCAGAAAAUUAACAAAAUGAAGAAGUAACCACAUAAAAAAGUAAUCCACCUGAAGACGAACAAGAGACCCAAAACAGAUACGGAAGUCUAAAACUCCAGAAGGAUAGAAGGAAAAAUAGAAUGCACAAAUGAAACAAGAGAAGAAAGAGCUAAAUGAGAUCACUGACCAUAUUUCGGAGCUAAACUAGAGUCGGCAGCUGUGGGGAGGAAGCAGCGGCGUGGCGUUUGUGGAAGAUGCUAGGGUUCUCUCAGAGACGAAAAGGAGAAGAGGAAUUUUGUAUUUAAGUAAUUGUCGAGCACGUGCCUUCAAAGUGUUUCAUUGUUUUAUUUUAUUAGGGUUAAUGUGAUGAUGCAAACUAUUUCACAAAUAUUUUAAAUUCUCAAUUAUUUUCAUUAAUAAUACUUACUUAUUUAUUUUUAUUGAUGUGUUCAUUUUUUUUUUUUUCAUCUUCUAUGUUAGGCCAAGUUAUCAUUCUAUGUAAUAUUGUUUUUCUUAUCAAACACAAUUGGAAUGUAUUUUUAAAAUAAUUAUUACAUUCAACUUUUAGGUAUUUCCAUUAAUUUCUUUUACAUUAAUAAAGAUUAAUUUUUUUUUAGAGAAAUAUAGUUUCAAAUUAUAACGAUUAUAUUACAUCCCAUUGUUUUUCUUAUACUUAAAUAUCAUUUUAGAAACUUUUACAAUAUGUGAAGUUUGUUUUAGUCUACAUGUUUGUUCAUUGUAUACUGGGGCAUAUUGAUAUUGUGUAUAAUACCUUACAGUGAUAUAUUUGUAUAUAUUUUCAAUUAUCACUAACAUUGCAGACUAUUGUAGUCCAUGAACAUGUGACGUUUCAAGAGUUACACAAUAGUUCAUAAAAAAAUAAUUUUAAAAUCAAUCAUGUAUAUUGUUCAUAAUUUUCAUCAAAUUGCAACUUAAUAUAUUAGAUUCACGAGAUAAUAUUAUUUUUAAAUUUUAAGUUUUAUUUCUGCAUCUUCAGUAUACGUUAACAUACGAAAAAUUUGAUAUAUACAGUAUGUGAAAUGAAUAUAUUAUGGUCAUUAACAACUAAUUUUAUUACAUGAUAUAUAAUUGGAUCGGAUUAACUAAGUCUUCAGUAUACCAAGUUUUAUAUAAAAUAUUGAUACAAUUGUUUAUUAUAUAAAUGAGGUAUAUAGAUGCGAAAUAAUUAAAUAUACAUGCGUAUAUAUGAGAAAGUACAUAAAAUAUAUAUUUUACUUUUACGUAACUUAUUAAAAAUCUAUAAUUAUUAUAAUUAAAUUCGAUAUAAACAUAAUAUAUAUUUGAAAUUAAUAACUAAAUCAAAUAAAUGCACAUAUAUAACAAUUUUACAAUAUAUCAUCUUAUAUGCCAAAUAAUAUAUGACAUGUAUAUUUUUUCAUUUUUCAACAUGUUUAUGAACACAAAAACUUGUGCAACAUAAAAACAUAAAAAGGAAAAAGGAAAAGAAAAAAAUAGGUAAAAAAUCAUAUAACAAUAACAAUAAUAAAAAAAGAAAAUAAAUAGAAUUUAUAUGGAUGGAAAAAUAAAUCAAAUAUUUACAAUUUAAAAAAUAAAUAUGUAAUAUCCCAUCUUAAAUAAAUCAAAUCUCAUACAAUUAAAAAAUAUGUAGAAAUGAUCUCAAAUUAAAUGCUCCAAACUAAAAUGAAUAAUACCCAAAGUUUAUUGAGGGUUUCCAUGUGCCCGCCAAUGUCCACCAUGGAACGGUUCUAUGGUGGGCCUUAGGUGGGAAUGAGGGGCGAACAUAGUAGCCAUUAGGCGGGCAUGAGAAAAAACCACAAUAGAGGGGAUCACAUAGUAGGCAUAGGCAGGCGCGCACGCAAGGUUGAUUUGCGCAGGCGACACCUGCGCGCGGCAGGGGAGUCGACGGCAAAUGGGCGCGCGGUGUCACAUAUAUAUUUUUCCAAAGUGUGUUUACCUUUGGUUAUAUGCUCUGAUUACCCCCAGUUUAUCUCAUCUUUAGUUUGCAUAACUAGUUUAGGUGUUUGCUUUUCAUUCUAGGUCAUAAACCUUGGGUGUGACGUUUCAGCAUUUUCAUAUGCAAGCCUGCCAAAGCUGAAAAUGUUCAAAAUGUACUAUAGGGGAGGCAUACCAGUUGAAUCCUCGCACGAGCAUUAGUUGUACUCUUUGCAAGCAACCCUUUUUCCUUGCAACUGACAGUCUUUAAUGCUUAUCAUAACGUCUAUUUCAAUGUAUUUCUUUCUUUCCCGCAUUUUAUAAAUAAAAUUUCCCUAAAACCCAAAGGAAGGUUACGACAUACGUCAACGUUACCCACAACUCUUGGAUUUUUAUCGGCUGACUUGUUCGUUGAGUUAGAACAAGUGCCGCACAAUCGUCCAUCUCGAGGUUGAAACGCUAAGAUUGUGACAAGUGGUAUCAGAGCCAAAUUGGCUGACAAUUCAGACAGAGAGAUGUCGACUACAAAACGAGCGAGCAAGACCCAUGAAGAACGGUUGGUGGGGAUCGAAGAGCAGAUGCUCCACCUGAUGGAAGUUUCUGAUUCCAUCCGAUUUAUGGAAGAACGACUUGAGGAAGUUGCCGAGAGAGCCGAUGCUAUUGAUGCGGUGUCCGGUCGCCUGGACGGAUUACCCAUACAAGAUUUGUUGGCUAGAGUUGACAUGUUAGAGUCACAAAUCCAGAGAAUUGGAAAUGUUUCCUACGAGCGUGGGGACAGUUCAUCGGGCUCUGUUGCCCGGAUGAAGGAGCGAGUUAUGGAGCUAGAUAACUCUCAGAAGGACAUGAUGGAAAUGAUAAAUGGCAUGUCAGAGGACUUUCGAGCCACCCUGGAUGUCGUUAGAAAUGAAAUCGUAGAGGUGAACACGAAGGUGAACCUUACGAUGCGAGCGUUGGCCAAUCAAGCUCCAACUGGAGGAGCGAUUAUGGUUGGCAAGAUAAAGAUCCCAAAACCCAAGCCCUUCUGUUGGGCAAGGGAUGCAAAGGCAUUGGAAAACUUUAUCUUCGAUACUGAGCAGUACUUUAAAGCCGCAAAUACUGUGGCGGAGGAAGCCAAAGUGACUUUGGCGACCAUGCAUCUAUUUGAGGAUGCAAAGUUAUGGUGGAAGUCCCGAUAUAUGGACAUUCACGUUGCGUAAUAGACACUUGGGACAGUUUGAAGAGAGAACUCCGCUCGCAGUUUUUUCUCGAGAAUGUCGAGAUUCUGGCUCGACGGAAACUGCGGGAAUUAAAGCACAAUGGAACCAUUCGGGAAUAUGUGAAGCAAUUUGCGGGGCUAAUGUUAGACAUAUCUGAUAUGACCGAGAAGGACAAAAUCUUCAGUUUUGUUGAAGGGUUAAAGCCGUGAGCAAGGACUAAGUUAUACGAACAAAGAGUUCAAGACCUUGCAUCGGCCUAUGCAACAGCUGAGCGUUUGUUUGAUCUGUCUAGUGACGCUCAAGAGACGAGACGUCAUCAAAGCUCUUCACCUGGAAUCGACCGAAACAGCCGACCAAAUUCUCCCGAAGCUGUCAGUGAAAGUAGAAGUCCCGGUAGAGACCGCAAGCCUUCCCAAUCCAGUACGGGAGACACCUGGAGAAGACUUGAUGGUCUAAACACGUCGGAUCGUCCUAUCAGUUACUACAUUUGUAAUGGACCACAUCGGGCAAGGGAAUGCCCAUAUAAAGCUGCCUUCUAUGCCUUUCAGGCCUCUUUAGCUGUAGAUUCAGAUGACAUGUCGAGUCAACCAAAGAAGGAAGUUGGGCAAGUAGAAGGAGUUCAAAAUGUUAGAGUGGGAGCCAUAAGACUCUUGUCGUCCCUUCAGAAGAAAGCGGGAGAGAUAAGUAGUCAUACUAAAGGGGGCUAAUAUAUGUUGACACCUGAAUCAACCGAAAGCAUGCAAAGAGUACUAUGGUUGACUCCGGUGCCACUCAUAAUUUUAUAACGGUGGUCGAAGCCAGACGACUAAACCUUCAUUGGAAGAAGGAUACGGCCGAAGAAAAUGAAGGUCGUGAAUUCUACAGCUCUCCCUGUGAUUGGGAUAGUGAAACGGGCAGCGAUACAGUUGGAAGGAUGGAGCGGCUUGAUACGAUCAAAGUUAGAAGUCCUUUGCUGAAUUGUCGAUUUCUUCAAAAGAUGCAUAAUUGUUGUUGACUUCUUCUAUGCUGACAACGUGACAUGUAGUGACUUCUAAUACUUCCUUUGGAUGAUCAUCAAGGAAACUUCUUGGGAGGAAUUCUGUUAAAGUUAUCGACUGUCGAGGUCGGAAGAAGUCCUCGUCUUUUCCUUUGAUAGGCUUAGGCUUCCACAUCUUCUUGUUUCUUUUCUCCUUUUUAUGAGAGUCGCUUCCUUUUCCAUGCUUCUGAUGGAAGUGCGACCUCGUUUGAAUGGAAUUUGGUUGUCUCCCUCUUUUACGAGUCACGACUAUCCAUCCUUCACAAUCAUCUUCAACAGACUUUUCUUUGUUUUGAGAGUCUGUCGUCACGAUCUUUUGUUAGAAUUGAACAAGUAUAGGUUCGAGAGUCCCAAACUGAAUCAAGUUUUUCCAUUGAUCAUAAGGCAGCGUUGAUGGAAGAGCACUUGAAGUCGUCUCAACUGCGACAUGUGUUGUCUGAGCUACUUCAUCCAUAUCUAACUCGAUUUUCUUUUCACGAGCCAACUUUAGAAUAAGCUCCUUCAACACGAAACAUUUUCCAACAGGGUGACUAAUGACCCGAUGGUACUUACAGUAGUUAGGAUCAUCUACUUUUCCUGCUUGUUUUGGUCGUUUGCCUUCUGACAGCUGAAUAAGUUGUUUGUCUAGCAGCUGCUCUAACAUGUCUGCAACAUCAGAGUCGGAAAAUAGAUAAACUUUUUCCUGCCUUUCUUUAAGUGUUGGCCAAUGCUUCUCUUCACCACCAUGCUUUCUUUCGAUUUUUGUUUCUUUUCUUUUGGAGAAAGAUUUCAAUGGAGACUCAUGAACAACCAUAGACUCAUUAAUGACACUAUUUGUGAUCUUUGUAGUGUCGUCAAUUUCAUUAUUCCCCUUUUUUACUCCAGAGAUUAAGAAAUCUUUAGUUCCCCUAUUAGCGAUGCUCAAUUCCAUGUCAUGGGUGCAAGUUGCUAAUUCUUCAAAUGUAUGAGGUUUUAUUCCCUGCAAAAUAUAGAGAAGUUCCCAGUGCAUGCCUUAGGUGCACAUCUCCACUGCAGACAAUUCUGUGAGCUUAUCUUUGCAAUCCAAGCUUAGAGCUCUCCGUCGGUUUAUGAAAUCAAUAACUGGCUCUCCCUUUCGUUGUCUCGUGUUUGUAAGCUCCAUCAUGCUUACAGUGUGUCUGGUGUUGUAGAAAUGGUUGAUGAAUUCCUUUUCCAGUUGUUCCAAACUUUCGAUGACUUCUGGCUCCAGAUCAGUAUACCACUCGAAAGCAUUUCCUUUUAAGCUUCGAACGAACUGCCUGACUAGUUGGUCUCCUCUUGAUCCUGCGUUCUCAUGUGUUUCAACAAAGUGAGCAAUGUGUUGCUUUGGAUUGCCCUUUCCGUCGAAUUGCUGGAAUUCUGGAGGCUGGUAUCCAAGCGGCAUUCUCAAGUUAUCAAUUCUUUUGGUGUACGGCUUAGAGUACAUGAAAGAAGUUUGAGAUGGGCCUUCAUACUGAGCUCUGAUGGAGUUUGUGAUCAUAUCUUGUAAUUGUUGAACUGAGAAAGAAGCCACAGAAGUUAAUUGUUGUUGUGGUUGAUUUUCUUGCACCAUGUUCUUCCCUUUGUCACCAGCUUUAACAACAGGAGUUUGACUCGAUUCAACAGUUUCACGAGUAUGCAUAUGCUCUUUUAAAGCUGCGAUUUCAUGGUCUCGUUCGUCAACAACCUUCAUCAGAAGAUUAACUUUUCUCUUCAUCUUCGCCAUAGCAGCCUCAACUGUUACAUCAGCCAUCAUGACAUACAUCACAUUAGGGUAUGCUUCUUUCUGUGACCUGCUAGAGGUAGAAUCAGGAUCAUUAUAUAGAUGAUUUUCCUUGAUGACAAUUCCAGCUUUAGGAGAUUCCAUUAAUUGCUUCAGGAUGCUCUACGCGAUGGCAGAACCUUAAUCUUGCUCUUGGAUGAUCCCCAAUCUUGCUCUUGGAUGAUCCCCUUAGAACGACUACGGGUGACAGGUCUCGUGUAGGUGUCGCUUGCUGCUGAAGAUUUGGAUGUAGCUUUCUUUGAUGCCAUUGAUUUUCUUGUAGAUCUAGAUGACGAGAGAGAGAUGAGAGGUAGAGAUGGUCCCACUAGGCGUGCCAAUUUGUUCGCACGAGAUUUCCGUAGAAAUUUAAUUCGUGGAUUUGAACUUGGAGUUGAUGUUGUAUCUUUGUUGAUUUUGUUGCGAUGCGGUUCAAUCUCUACAAUUUGAUCCUCUGAUUCUCUCUCGACUGAAUGCCUACGCUUGAUUUGGAGAAAGCGGAGCACGUGAUGUUCUUGAAGUUUGUUGAACGUCUACGCUUGAUUUGGAGAAGCGGAGCACAUGAUGUUCUUCAAGUUGGUUGAAUGCUUAUGCUUGAUUUGAGGAAGCGGAGCACGUGAUGUUCUUGAAGUUGAAGUCUUGGAAGAAAGUUUGUAUCUUCAAAAGAGCUUCAAUCUUCGAGGGUUGUCGACUUCAGGAGUUAGGGAGUCUUCUAGGUUUUGAGAGAAUUCUCUAUAGACCUUAUGAAGUAAAAAAUUUCCAACCCCUGCAAAUGAGGAGAAUUCCACUAUUUAUAAAGUUCACUGGUGGGCUUUAUGGGCUUAAACCUGGUUGGUCCAUGGACCAGACCCAUGAGCUCAACCAUAUGGAUUUAGGUUAUAUUUAGUCUUUGGGCUCAAUUAAGCUUAUUUUUUGGCUUAAUUGAACUUAGUCCAAGUAAAUAAUAUUUAAUUGAACCUUAAUUGAACUUAGUCCAAGUAAAUAAUAUUUAAUUGAACUUAGUCCAAGUAAAUAAUAUUUAAUUGAACCAAAAUGAUUAACUUAAUCCAACAAUUAAGAUGAAAACAUGUGACAUUAUUAGAAUAGUCAAUUUAUGUUUUUCAAUUCUUUAAUUUGGGGCACAUGUCAAUUUUAAUUAGUCCAAAUUUAAUUAUUUGUCCUUUUCAUCAUCAACUUAAUAAAUGAAUUGGUCUCAAAAUUUCUUAUUCAACAGUAGGUUGUAAGAAGGAAUGGUUUAAAAGUUGAAGAAAAGCUAAGUAGAAAAGAGGAAAAUUUUGGCUAACUCCAUGGGUUUGCGUUUUUAUCUUGGUAAACAGCCAAAUAAAGAAGAAAUAACCUCUUACCUCUAAAGAGUUUAUUUGGGCGAGAAAAAUGGUGUGUUAGGUGGCAAGAUUGGUGUUGUGAUGUGUGGUCGGGAAGAGUGUUUAGAGAAGUUAGUUGGGCGUUAGAACUUGGGGAGGAGAAUGGCUACACGAGGAAGUUUGGCUAGGUGUUUAGAGGUUAGCAUGUGAUUAGCUAGGUGGCCAAGGCUAGGUGUUAAGAGGUUAGUUGGCCGGCUAAGCUAUACGAGAUGACCAAGGAGGUUAGCAUGAUUGAGACAAGUAUAUGGCAUGCUCUAAGCAAAUGGUUUAAGGUUAAUCUAGGUGUUCUAAUCUUAUUAACAUACACUUUGCGGCCAAGGAGGACGUGGAAGAGAUAAUGAGGUGUAAAUAAGAGGUGAGUUUAUUCUAGGAUUAAGUGUCACCUUAAUCACAAGCAAGGACUUCUAUAAAUAGGCAGCUUCAAGAAUGAAUUUCUCACUACUUACUCAUGUAAAAUCACUCAAAUUGGUCUUAUAAGUUCAGAAAUUGUGUCUAGUUUGUAAGAAAGGGUUGUUGUUCAACUUGGAUUCAAGAAGGGUGGCGUUUGGAUCAAGAUUAGGCGAGAAUGUCAUUUUCAAGAAGAAUCUGAGUAAGGCGCAUUCCCAGAUGGCUACAAAAUUCAUCUUUUGAAAGUUUGGUCUACAAUUUUGUGGUAAGACAAUUAUGACUAUUUCCAAAACUUUGUAGAAGAAAGUAUUUUCAUUGAGUUCUGGAUUUUAAGUUAUUAAGCUCUAAAGUAGAAGUAAGGUUCCGGUCGAAAAUGAAUUUCUAGGCAUUUGAGGUUGUUGGUCGAGUGUCAGAGAUUGCUAAGUCAGAGGUUUAAGGUUUAGAGACGUACAAGGACACGUGCGACCAUGAAAGUAUGUGGAAAGCCCUACGCGUGCAAGGGCCAGGUGAGAUACGUAAGGCACACGCGGGUAACACCCCUUGUAAGGUUAGCACGCGGCUGGCCUGCUCAGGCAUGCGUGUCACUCAUGCCCACUCUGUAAAUUCCAUCGAACAAUAUUUUUGAAACCUUUCGUCCCCUUCAAACAUUUAAAGUCUUCCAUCAGUUGCAGAAACGAUUAUAGCUUCUAGCUUUGUCCCCUUCAAACCCUUCAAAGUCUUUAUACAUUCGGCGCAAAUCAAGAAAUUUUCUUCUUACUAGCUAUCUUCUUCAUCAAUAGGAUUCCAUAUUCAGGUGAGCUUCUUCAUCAGCGUAAAGGUUUAUUUUCACAGUACUUCUUUCAUUCGUUUGAGCUCUGAUUCUUAGGGAAAUUUAUUCUCAACACCAUUAUACUUCUUAAUUGUGGCAUGAACAACAAUAUUAACUGAAAAUCGUUCAUUGUUAUCAAAGCACAUUUAUGGGAUCUCUAAAAUUUUGCCAUGGUUCAUAAAUAAAAAGGUAAAGUGUAUAAUAUUAUUUUCGUUUUUAAUUAUAGGUUAUAUAUAAAUAGUUGUGGAUAUAAAUUAUUUAUUUGUUUAUUAAUUAUUCUUUUAAAUUACAUAAACAAUAUAUCAAGUGAUAUCCCCUUGAUUUUAGGAACAACAAUGUUUAUUGUUUUUAUAAUUUGUAGCAAAAUUAAAAAUGAAAAAAGAGAAGGGGAAGGAAGAACAAGAACCAACGAUAAAUUACGAGUUGCUAGAAUCACUGGUUCAAAAAACCCCCUAACAAAAGAGGUUGAAUAACUGUCAAGUUCUUCCAUUGAGGUAUUAAUGUAAUUUUUUUUUCAAUUACACAAAAGUUUUAAAUGCUGAUAACUUCUUGUAUGAAAACUUACAAUAUAGACUAGAAGAUCCAAUGGUCCAGGGGUCGGGAAGCAACCAUGAAAGUCCAAACACUUCAAAAAAGAGGGGGAGGAAUUAACCUCUGAAGGAAGAUAUUGUUGUGAAGAAAAAACAAAGGAUAAAGAGCUUGGUAAACUGUCUUAUUAAAAUUUAUUUUCUAAUGAAUACAGGGAAAAUUUUUAUGUUGGGGUCUGUGGAGGUUUCAAAAAGGCAAUUUAUGAGAAGGAAACAUGAAGAAGAAGAGAAAGAAGUAAAGAAUGAAGAGAAGGUAUGUUGUCUGUGUUGUUAUACUUCAAUUCAUGAAAUGUACUAUAUUUAGUAAAUUCAUAACAUACCAUUUACCCAAGAAUCUUGCCAAACAUGAUAAUACUUAAAGUGAACAAGAUAAACAAGAAAAAUAAGACGAAGAUGAAAAAGAACAAGGUGAGACAAACGUGAAUGAUGAAUGUAGUUCAAGGACAAAAGAAACAAAUGAAGAAUCAAUAGAGAAUAGAAAGAGAAAAAAUGAUACGACAAAGGAAAGAAGGUAACAAUCUAUAACAUUGAUGUCCGAUAAAUGUAAAAGUUAUAUGAAACUUUGCUAUCAAUUUCCUUUUUAUAACAUAGUUCAAAAGUGCUAACAAGGAAGAAAAGGCCAAAGAGGAUAAAAGACAGAAAGGGAAAUCACCAAUAACACAAGAAAAAGCUGAGGUAUGUGUGAUAUAGUACAUAGUAUGUAUGAAUUUUGUAUAUGUAGAAUACAAGGUAUGUGGUUGCUAUUUGAUAUCAAAUACAUUGCAUUUGGAGGUAAUUACACUGUAUUUGUGAAUAUAUGUUAUUUUUUAUCCCAUCCAUUUUGGAAUAUAUUAAAUCUGAUUGAUGUGAAUUACACUGAUUGAUCCAAAAUUUGUUAUUCAAACAUAUGUCUAAUUUAGCCCAAAUACUAAAUAUGAUCCAAACUCAUGUAGUUGAGCUUAUGGGUCUGGUCCAUGGACCAACAAGCCAUGAAACUUACUAGAGAACUCUAUAAUUAGAGGAGUUCUCUACAUUUGUAGGGGAUAAAAAAAAUUUACUCCAGAAAGUCUAAAGAGAAUUCUUCAAAGACUCCAACUUGAAGUUGACCACCCUCGAAGAUUGAAAUUCCUUUAAAGAUACAAGCUUUCUUCAAAGACUCCAACUUCAAGAGCAUCAUGUGCUCUGCUUUCUUAAAUCAAGAGUAUGCAUUCAACCGAGAGAGAAUUAAUGAUCAAAUACUAGAGAACGAACCACAUCACACAAAUAUAACAUUAACACAAGUUCAACUCCACGAAUUAAAUUUCUCUGAAAAAUCUCGUGUGAACGAGAGGUAUUUUGGGUUUUUGUAAAUUUAUGCUUAUUGUAUUUUUAUUGGUUUUGCCAUUUUUUUUUAAAAAAACAACCAUUUUGCACCUUUUCCCUUUUCCAAAUGACAACUUGUAGAUUUCUAUUCUUCUAGUUGAACAUUUUUUUUUUUUUUUGAUUUUGAAAAACACUUCUAAAGUUAUCAACAAGUAACUAGUAUUUGUUAAUCUAGUUUUCAAUGCACAUGAAAUAGGUUUUUUGGUUAACUAUUUUAUUUUUGGUUUUUUGAAAAUUAAGUAUAUUUUCUCUAAGUUUGUUACCUUAAUUUCAAUGAAGCAAAUAUACUUGAUGUUGCCAACUACAUAUCAGUUACUAAUGCUUCAAAAACUUCCCAGAUAUGUAGGUGACAUGCAAUUUGAUGUAUUUGAAACUGACUUUUUUCAAAGAAAAAGCUAAGCACCACAUCUAAUAUUUCUCAAUACUUCACACAUAUAUGUAUCUAACAAAAAAUUUGGUAUAUUUGUUUUUAUGCUGACCUUUUCUUAAAAUAGAAAAAAACUAAUUAACUUAACAUCCUAUUUAAAAUGCUCAUUGCCUCCCUUCAAAAUAAAAGAAAAAAAAUAAUAAGUAGAAGACCAAACCUUAGAAUCAUCUAGUGAUCUCAUUUCACGUUUGAGUUCCUACAAAGUCUUCCAAAAAAACAAGACCCACUUGAACAUCUAUAAUAAUUCAAUGAAGAAGUUCUUCAUUUAUCCUCAUACUUCUGCCUCUAAUAUUUUUCUACCACUUUUUGGUCAAUUUAAUUUUCAUCACUUUUUUUAUCGCAUUCUAUUGACUAUCGUACUUUUAUUCAUAUCGUAUUUUGUUCUAAUGUUAUUUGUGAAUCUUACCAAAGUCCACAUCGAUUAGAUAACUAAAGACAACUAUAUUUAUGGAUACGAAAUCUUUUAGAAUGAUACCAAAAACAAAACCAUGAUGAUGAUAUUGGAGGAGUUUGUUUUCCUAACAUUAUUAACUUAAUUUUGUAUGGAUUUAGUGGAUUACCUUUAGCAUACUUAUGUUAAAGCAAAAAAAAGAAAAAAUGUAUCAUCACUAACUAUACAAUAUGAUAAUUAAUUCCAUUAAUUUUGAAGAAUUCUUAGCCAAAGUUAAGAAAGAAAACUACUUGUUCUUAAUUUUUAAAAUUCAAGAAGAGAAUGAAAAAUGAAGUCCAACCAUGAAAAUGGAAUGAUGAAUGAAAGAAGGCGUAAAUAGUUACUAGACUUAAUUUAUGCAUUUCAAUUCAUUUUUAGAUAUACAUUAGAAAGUAUGGUAUACAUGUAGUAACAAAAAGUCCAUACAAAGAUCAUCCAUUGUCCACAUUUCUAUGAACAUUUACCUCUUUUACAAGAAAUGAAGAAUAAUAAUUUGGAGUGAAAUUUUUUGAAGUAUUUCCAAUGUUAGAAGAACAAAAAAAAAAAAAACCUGUAAUCAAUUGUAGUCUCUUUUUAAUUUAUACAUUUUCAUUUUCUCAGUUUAUUUUCCCCCUCCAAAAAAAAAUCCUCUGUAUUUAUCACCGUGAUCGAGUUUGCAGAUUCCGGCGGGAAUUAUUAUGCAUCAAGAAAAGCUUCUUCAAAACCUUAACAAACGCCGUCUUCCCCAUCGUCUUCCUCCUCGUCGCCAUCGCGCCGGAAGUCUCCGAUAGGUUAAAUUCCGCCAUCCGCCGUCGCGCCUUCACGGUCUCAUUCUCCUCCGUUUCUGCCGUUUUCAUCAACCUAGAUCUCCGACUCCUCGACAACUCCUCAUUGAAAUUCUCCCAAAGCACGUCCAUCUUCUCCGCCGCCUCCGCCUCCUCCUCCUCCUCGCAGUUCACUGCCGCAUCGCUCAAAAACCUCCUCCUCCUCUGCAACGACGCCGAUGGGAACCGAUUACUAAUCUCACCGUCCGACGCCGUAUCUCUGAAAUUCCAAUCGCAAGAUGUUUGUUGAGGGUAGGAAAUCGGAGAUGCGGACGGAGAUAGAUGCCAGAGAGGCGGCGAAUCGAUGCCGCAGCGGUUGAAAGGCUCCAAGGCGGUGGGGAAACUGAAAUCUUCUUCAACCGCCAUGGAUUUUUUUUGGAUGGAAUUGAGAAUUUUGAUUUUGGGAAAUUUGAAAUUAAUUUGAGAGAAGAAUUUUGGAUUUGGUAAUGCUGAAUUUGUGUGUGGAAUUUGCAGUUCAACUGCUUCAACAAGCUGCUAUAAUUUCUCUCUAUUUCUUAUUUGUACUUAAAAAAAAAAAAAGGAGAAAGUUUUCAAAUUUCACUUUCUUUAUUUUUAGUAUAUCUUAUCAUCCUUGCAAUCUUAUUGUUAUUUAUUAAUUUAAGUCUCAUCUAUAUUUAUUACAUCAUCAUAUUCCAUGCGACUCAACUCUGUAACCAACUUUAGAAACCUAAUUUUAGACCAAUUCAAACGUUAAAAAUUUUAUUUUGAAAAAAUGAGAAUGACUCAUACUCCUUAUAAAGAUAGAUAGUCUAUUUUUUUACCAUCAAUUAUGUGAUUGCAUGUGUUGUAUCGUUCUUGUCUCUCCGUUUAAUACUUAUUUCUACUUGUUUAGCAUACUUAAGCUUCAAGGUGAUUGAUGAUUUAAGAGUAGAUAUGACACACUUAAUUUAUGUUCUUUUUUAGUUUCUAAAUGCUAAUUGUAUUCUAUCUUUCAUGGAAUAAUGAUUCUAUUAUUAUUUUUCACGUUUAAGAUUGUAUUUAUUCAUAUUUUUUUAAUACAAGUUAUCACAAGGUUUAGAUAUCUUUUAUUUUUGAUAUACACAUAUAACUAUUUUAUAUGUUAGGGUUAGUUGUUAUUAGCUUUUCUUUUUCUCCCAUCUUAUUACCCAAAAAAAUGUAGGUUCUAAAAUGAAUUUGGAUUAAAUAUCUGUAAUUAAUUUACAUGAUUAAUUUCUCUUAUCCAAUAAUUCUUUUUUAGAUUAUGUAUAGUGAAUUGUGAAUAGAAUCGUGUAAAAUACAGCUGGAGUAUAAUGUUAUCCAAACACAAUUUAAAUUUUGAAUUUUUUUUUACAUUAAAUUUUAAAAAAAAAUAUUUGAUCAAAUAUUCUAUAUUAAACUACUUAUUUAAAUUCUUUCGCUAUUUUCGAGUUUUGGAUUUUGGUUUGUCUAAAUUUACCCAUAACAAAAAUAAUAUACAUUAAGGUAAUAAUUUUCCAAUUAAACCUAUAAUAAUCCAAACAAUUUCAAAUUUGAGAAAAAGAUGAAGAAGCAUUAUUAAUGAGUGUAAAGAAAAAAAAAAGCAAAUAUUAUUUAUAUUUUUGUAGAUCAUCCAUGAUCAAAUAACAAAUUUAGUUUGUAUUUUGAACUUUUGUUUCCUUUUAUUUUGAUUGUUUCACCUUCCUAUUUAUUUAUAAGUGAAAUAGUAUAGUUUUAAAAAAGAAAUGGACAAAUAGAUCCAAGUUGAGUUGUAAUUUUAGUGAAGUAAAUAGAAAUGAGAAUAUAAUAUAAAGAAAGUAGAGUAGGUAGAGAUGCAAAGAGAGGGAGAGAAGAAAAGAAAAGAAAGAAAAAUGAGGAAGGUGGUUUGGUUUAGAGUUUGAAGUGACUGAUGUGGCGCCGGAUUGGGUGCAAUAAUUUGGAUGACGUGGCAUCUAAAGUCUUCACUUGGAACGCGCUUCUUCCUCUCUAUCACUUCCUCCGUUUUACCAAUAAGGAAAUGUCAGUUGUCAAUCUCACUUUCCAACUCUCAAAGUUUUCGCAUUUAUUUUUGGGACGGAUCUCUUGUGUCUUUCACAUCAACUUCUUCAACUUCUCUUUCUGCCUUUUACCCUCAACUAUAUAUAUACCAUUUAAAUCCUACCACGCCUAUUUGGAUAGUCAAAUUUGGACUUCCACCCUGCAACCAAUUACUAAACUAUAAAAUUAAAUGUUUUUUUUUUUAGCUAUGACACACACAACUCUUGCUUUUACAACUUUUUAACCUAAACACUCAAUCAACUUGUAAUAGAAAAGAGAAAUUACGUCGAAUGACAUAAGUAAUAUUUUAAAAAAAAUAGCUUAUGACACUUAUUUUUUUGUACAUUAAGCAUAUGGAAAAAUUAGUGAUAUUAAACGGCUAUCAAAUGGUAAUUAUAGAGCUAUCGAAUGACUGUUAAAUUGUCAUUAUAGGGUUAUCGAAUUUAAAUUUGCUAUUUUGGAAUUCAAAAAAUGUAGUGACAUGGACCCUUUUAUCAUAGUUUUUUUUUUGUUGCUAUUUUUGUAGGAGUCUCAUAGAAAAACGUAUAGUUAAAAAAGUACAAUGUCACUUUUCUUUUGCUAAAAAAAAAAGAAUAUUAUUUAAAACAAUGAAAAACAGAUUUGAGAGAUGAAGAUUUGUUUGUCUUACAUGUGUGUAUGAAGUGUUUCAACGUAAAACAAUUUUUUUAUUUCAAACAAAAUGUAGGAGAAAAAAUCAUUUGCAAAAUUAGUUGUAACUAAUUCUUUUAAAUUUCCACUAUAAAUAUAGUAAUAGAGGUAGAAGAAAACUAACUUGUAAUUCAUUUACUAAAAAGUAUUUCAAGCACAGUGGAUGUAGGUUUCUUUAAACCAAACCACUAUAAAAUUCUUGUGUUGAUUAUUCUUCAUCACUUAAUUAACAUCGUCUUCUUCGUCUUUUUCGUAAACAUGCAUAAGCAUCAAACUUCCAUAGCCAAAGAAAUGAGAGGAACUUUGAGAAGCAUUACAAAGAAAACAACUUAAGAGUUAAUCACUUUACAAAUUUCUCUAUUUGAGAAAGAAAUAUGAAAAAGUAAAGAUAAUUCUCUACCUGGUGGCGCCCCUUGACCAUACAAAUAGAAAAUAACAAGUUGGUAUCAGAGCAUGUAGAAAUUCUCGAGAAAGAUCCAAGAUUUACAUUCUUGAUCAAUCAAGAAACUCAAGGUGGCAGUAGCAAGAUACAAUAUUGAGAAGUUUGAUGGUAAGAAAGAUUUUACCUUGUGAAAAGCAAAGAUCAAAGUUAUCAUCAACCAACAAAAAACAUUGAAAGCUUUUAUAGAUCAAGAAAAGCGACAUGCAACAAUGACUGAAGAAGACAAAUAAAUUAUAGAAAAUGCAGCUUAUGGUUCUAUAGUUCUAAACCUAAGUGACAAUGUUUUUAGGAAGGUCAUUAAUAAAGAAACAACUAAUGGAAUGUGGAAGAGGAAUGAUGAACUUUAUUAGUCAAAAGACUUAACAAACUGUGCAUACGUGAGGAAAAGGUUCUUUACCUUCAAGAUGGAUAACAACAAGUCAUGGGUAGAAAAUCUUGGCGAGUUCAAGAAGCUGUCGACUGAUUCAAGGACUUGGAAAACAAGAUUGGUGAUGAAAAUAAAUCGUUUAUUUUGCUUUAACUCACUUCCAAAUGCAUACAAAGUAGUCAAAAUGGAUCUGAUCAAUAUGGCAAAACAUCACCAUUGAUGAUGUCAUUUCAGCAAUAAAAACUAGAUAACUUUUAAGGCUAGAAUAGAUCGAUAAUAUUACGCUUAAUUCUACCCCAUGCAUGCUUAUACUCAUUAUAUUCACAUUUUUAUACGAAUUACGAUAAUAGACUCUGAUACAAGAACAAUGCAAUGAAAAACAAUUAAAAUGUAGCUUAAACGAAGGAAAACGAGUAAUUUAAAAAUCAAUGACAAAAUUAUAAAUAAUUAGAAAUUUUAAAAUUUUUGUGCACACAAUUCUCUUCAAGGUCACAAUUUUGAACCUUAGUUAUGUGCAAUUUUCUUAAAAAAUUACGAUGUAUAGCCUAUUGAGAAUAUGAUAUAGCAAAUAUAUCAUCAUACUAUUUUAAAAUUUUGCAAAUAUGACAAAAUUUUCACUUCUUAAAAUACUCUACAUUUUAAAUUUGUUAUUAUUCCAAAAGUACCCUUCAAUAAUUUAUUUGUUUUCCCUCUUUUAAUGUCCUAAUUAUUCAUUAUUUCUUCUCCCAUUUUUUAAGGCCCUAAUAAUUUUUUCUUAUACGGAAAAAACGAAUUGUUCUUCCUGUGUUAAUUUUGAUUCUAGGAUAUCAAUGGUAUAUUAAUUGGAAUAUGAAAUAUAAUGUUUGUGGAUAAAAGUAAUUUAACUUUGUAAUUUUUCUUUACUUUUUUGGAUGUGUAUUUUGAGUUGAAUUUGAUUUCAAAUAACUAUGUUUUAUUUUUUUUAUAUUGGUUUAAUUUUGGUUUUACUUUGUAUUAGUUUUAUAUAUUAGUGAUGUGAUGUACUUAUAUUCUAUGUAUUAAUUGGUUUAUAUACUUACUAAGUAAUUUUUAUUUUUUCAAAUUAUAUUGAGUGAAUGAUAUACUCAGUGCAUAAUUAUCAAGUAUACCAACAAUAUAUUAUUUAAGGUAUAUCAACAUAUCGGUAAAGUGAAUUAAUAUCAAGUUUAACAAGUGUAUAUCAAUAGUGUAUCAAGAUAUAUAAGUAGGACUUCAAGCAUAUACUGAAGAAUACUAAGAGUAUUUGCAGUACUUUAGGUGUACCAAAAAUAUCACGUGCAUCAAGUGUACCAAAUUUGUUGAAUGUACCAAUGAAGCAUAGCAAGUUUAUUAGCAAUGUAUCAAGUGUAUCAAACUCAUUAGUGAAGCCUUUAAGUGUUUCAAGGCUUGUAGGGUAAGUAUGUUAAAAAGAAUCAAGUGUAAUAAAGAGUAUUAGGUGUAUUGUUGAAAAACAAACUAGGGCUAGAUGCAACGGAAUUAACAUUUAAAAAAUUCUCUAACCCUUAGAAUGUAAACAGACUGUGCAUAACCAAUUAAAUCACGAAUAAACUUACCUCUGUGUCGAUGUUCCAAAUUCAAAUUGUCUUUUUCUGAUAAAGAUGAUCCUUCAAAUUUGUAUCACCAGAACUGGGAAUUCGACUCCUUGAAUUCAAGUCUGCUAGAACCUCACACAAUAAUUCUCUUUUUAUGUAGAACAAAUUUUAUUUCUUUGCUUGUAUGUCUUGUUUAUAAGUAUUUUUUGGAGCUUCCUAAUAAAACCACUAAGGUCUUGUUUAUUUCUUUGCUUGUAUGUAAAAUAAAACCACUAGGAUUCCUAUGAGCUUCCAAUUCUCCAAUUGAGCUUAUUAAUUAUAUCUCCUAAUAAGUUUCCAAUUCUCCGAUUGGACUUACUAAUUACAUUUUCUAAGAGGAUUUCAAUUUUUCAAUUGGAUUUAUUAAUUAUCCAACCUAAAAACGAAUUCAACCUAGUUCUUUUAUGUGCAACUUGUUAGGUUAAUUUAAUAUGGUAAUGAGCCCAUAACUCGUUUUAUGGCCCAUUAGUCAUAAUUAGUCUCCUAGCAAGACAUUAUGACUAUCCAUAUUAAAUUAAUAAAGAUUUAAACAAAAGACAUUAAUUGAAUAAAAAAUUUCACAAAUGUCCUAAUUUGAAAAUUAUUUUCUUAAAUAGAAAAGAUAAUAUUUUAUGGACAUUUCUAACCUUUCAAUAAUUAUUAAUUAGAUAUUUUAUUCAUAAUAUUAUUUGAAAUAUUUUCUUAUUGAAAAUGAUAAUUUAAUAAGAAUUCCAUAACUUUCUUAAUUUAAUGUGAUUAAUUAAUAUGAUAUUAAAUUUUAAGUAUCUUUUCAAAUAACUAUAAAUCAAAAUAUAUUAUAAUAUAUGUAAUUUUGUUCUAAUUUGUAAUAACCUAUUUAUAUCUUCUUUCCAAGAUUAUAUUUUUACCUAUUAAUCUCUAUUGCCGGCAACCAUUAUUGUCCAUCACUGAAGCUUCUAGAAAUUAAAUCAUAAAUUUCUAAAUUCUUAUUACAUUGUUUUAUCAAUUUUUCGACAUCCAUAUUUGUAUUCAAUUUUGUAAUAACCGUAAGCUACAUCUUCUUUACAAGUCGUCCACAUAUUCAAUUCUCCAUCACCUGAAGCUAAGAUAAUAUCUAUAGUAAGUCAUUUGUUCUUUUACCCGUUUAAAAUUAAAUAGUUAAACACCAUAACUACAUUAUUAGAUCAUUUAGAGUAUAUCAUCUACGUAUAUUUCGUAUAUUUUAACGUUAUACCCCCCAUUUUAAUAGUUUUCUGAUGUGAUUUAGUAAAUAUAUACCACAUAUUAUUUAUAAUUAUACUAGUUUUAUAAUAUUAUCGCAAUAUAUAAUAGUUUGUAUAUGUGCUUUAUUAUAUAUAUAUCACAGUUUGUUUACAUUUAUAUUUGUUUUAUAAAUUACCCGUAAGAUAUAAUACUUUUUAGUUGAUGUUUUAUAAUAUAUAUACCAUAUAUUAUUUACCAUUAUACUAAUUUUAUAAUAUUAUCGUAAUAUAUAAUACUUUGCAUAUGUGAUUUAUUAUUUAUAUUUAUAUUAGUUUUAUAUAUUACCCGUGAGAUAUAUUACUUUUAGUUGAUGUUUUAUAUAAUAUAUACCAUAUUAGAGGUGUACAAAUAUGGGUUGAAUCCGAAUAACCCGGACUACCCAACCCAUAUUAUAAGGGUUGGGUUGGGUUAGGUUAAAAUAUGGUUUGGGUUGGGUAAAAAAAAAUUCAUUUUUUCGGGUUGGGUUGGGUUGGGUCUCGGGUUGGAGGGUUGAUAAGGGUUGGGUUGGGUUAAAGGUAUAUAAAUCUUCAAUUUAUUGAAAGAAAGUUUGAAUUAUGUAUGUUUGAAAUUUAAAUGUAUCGAUUUCAAACUUUUAUAUCUUAGAAACUAGAAAAUGAGAAUUUUUUUUUUUUUUAAAAAAUUAUAUACACAACCCGACAACCCAACCCAUAUUUUACGGGUUGGGUUAGAAACUAAAUUCGGGUUAUUCGGGUUGCCAACCCAAAUAACCCGAAAAUAUGGGUUGGGUUGAGAGACAUUCUCAACCCAAUCCAACCCAACCUGAUUUCACCCCUAUACCAUAUGUUAUUUACAACUAUACUUUAUAAUAACCUAUAGUUGUAAUAUUUGUGUGUUAGGAUGACCAAUAUUGCAGUCUAUUUCGAUGGUUUUUUCAACGAAACUAACAAUUACGUUAGUUACAGUGUGUCUGAAAUAGUAGCUGAUGAACAUAUGUCAUAUACUGAAUUGUCCAAUGUUCUUAGAUCCAAGUUAGGUAGUUUCAUUGACAUGAACAAUUUUGAGAUAUACAUUUGCUUAGGUCCUAUAGAAUGUCUUAAUAAAGAUAUGAGAAUAAAGAAUGACAACAAUGUUAAAUGAGUUUACCAUAUAAUAACAUCGAACGUUGAACAACAUAUUGCCCUUAUUGUUCAUUGUGUUGGUGUUUUAGCUAUUUCUUUGGGUUCAUCGUCCUCAAGUUCAUUUCAAACUGAAAUUCAUUCAGAUGGGGGCCGUUUUUUUGAAACCAUAGAUAUGUCUAAGAUAGCUUCCAACUUUUCACUAAAAAACCAAUACAUGUUUUCAACCAAAUCUUUAUUGAAACAGCCUGUUCAAGCCAUUGCCCUUAGAGAUAACUCUCAAUACGUCACAGUCAAAUCAAACAAGCAGGUCUUGAUUCUAUAUUGUCAAUGGUCAUUGCGUGCUUCUUGUUGCUAUCAUGGUGAUAGGACAUUAUGGGUUCUUACUAGGUUCGAUUUUGAGCAUACAUGUUCAGUCGAUGUUCCACUUACAGACCAUAGACAAGCUACCUUUACGGUUAUUAAGGACUUGAUAAAGAACAAAAUAAGUUUAGCUGGUUCAGAAUUGUCCAUUCCUAAAGAUAUAGUUCAUUAUGUUCGUGUUGAACAUGACUUAAGCAUAUCUUACCAAAAAGCACGAUGUGCACGUGAGGCUGCAUUGGAUGAUAUUAGAGGUUCUCCGAAGGAUUCCUACAAGAUGGUCGCCAAAUUUGCAUACAUGUUGAAUCUUAACAAUCCAGGUAUAUUAAUAAUAUACCUAACAACCUAUGUAAUAUAUUUGUCAUUAACAGAUUGUUGUUCCUUAAUGUCAAUAUUUGUUAUGUUCAUAGGUUCUAUUAUUGAAUACCGAGUUGAUGUGGAUGGUAGAUUUCUAUAUUUCUUCAUGACAUUAUAUGUUUCUAUUGCUGCUUGGCAACAUUGUCGUUCAGUCAUAUCUAUUGAUCGAACAAGCAUGAAGACUUAGUAUGAGGUACUCUUUUAACUACUUCAAGUCUUGAUGCCAACGAUCAAAUUUUACCAUUAUCAUUUUGUGUUAUCGAUUCUGAAAAUGAUGCCUCUUGGACGUGGUUUUGCAAUCAACUGAAGCGAGUCAUUGGUUGUAGGAAUGACAUUGUGAUAGUAUCUGACCGACAUAAAAGUAUAUGCAAAGCGAUAAAGGUAAUAUUUCCCAAUGUUCUACAUUGCAUGUGUAUGGUUUAUUUACUUAGGAACUUGAAGUUGAAGUAUAAAUCAAUAGUCAAUACCGUGUUCCAUGCAUGUGGCAAAACUUACAAUGUUGUUGAUUUUGAACAAGAAAUGCGUUUGUUGAAAUCUAAUGCACCUGGUAUACGUGAGGAGUUACAAUCAAUUGGAUUUUUAAGGUGGUCCCGUGCCUACUUACCCCUUAGUAGAUAUAAUGUCAUGACUACCAACAUAUCUGAGAGUUUGAAUAAUGCAAUUAUCAAGGCUAGGGAGUUGCCCAUAUGUUCAAUGCUUGAGGUAUUGAGAAUGAUGUUGAAUAGGUGGUGUUUUGAACAUAGAAAUGAAACAGCCUAUCAAGUUACAGAUUUUACAAAAACUGUUGAAGGUAUUAUAAGGGAACAAAUUGAAAAUAGUCGAUCUAUGUAGGUAUAUUUAACUUAUAAUCUAAAUUGAAUGUUAAUAGAUACAUCUUAUUAUCUAAUAUAUACCUAAUUAUCUUCUACAUGUAAUUAUCUAUGUAGGUCAAUCCAGUCAACAAUAUGAAAUACCAGGUCAUCCAUGGCACAUCUCAAUAUGUUAGUGUACUUGCCUUCGAAGAUUUGUACUUGUAGGAUGUUGGAUAUAUUGCAAAUACCUUGUGCCCAUACAUGUGUUGUUCUUACCAUGAAGCAUUUGUCAAUAAAACCAUUUGUUUCACAUUAUUAUUUGAACAGCACACUAAGUUCAAUUUAUAGAGAAUUAAUAAACCCUUUAGGUGAUCAUCGACAAUGACAAGUACCUGAUGAUGUUUUAUCCAUUGACAUUCUGCCACCUAAUGUAAAACGUCCCGUUGGUAGACCCAAGAAGAUUAGAAUCUCUUCUAAAAUGAAGUUCAAGAGAUGGAUAAAAUGUGGACGUUGUGAGCGUUAUGGGCAUAACAGAAAGCGAUGUAAGUUUUCCUUAUCUAGUUAGUUUUUCAUUGUAUUUUAUAUUAGAUUUUUUUAUUGUUGUUUAAAACUAAUUUUACAUUUAUUAUUCAAUUUGUUUUAACUUUACGUUUAUUUAAGUUUUAAUUUAAUUAUUUCUAUUUUUUAUUAGAAUUUUUUAUUAUUUUCAUAUGCACUACCACUACCACUACCACUACCAUUUAUUCGUUUUACUAAUUACAUUUAUUAUAUAUAUACAUCAUUAAUAUACUUCCUAUUAUAUAAUAUAUCGAUUAAAAAAUACAAAUAAUAUUGUUAUAACACUGUUAUAAUAUUUAAAUAAAUAUAAAUAACAUACUAUCACAUACAAGAAUUACAAUUUGUUCCAAAUAUACUUAUAAGAUUUAUAUUGAACAUUUUAUUUUAAUUCAAACAAUAAUUCCAUGAACAAUGAACACCAUAUAACAAUAUACUACAUGGUAUAAAUAAUAUAUGACUUUUAUGUCUUAGUGAUUGCAUUAUACAUACAGUACACCAAUUAAUCAGAAUGAAAAGAACAUGUAAAUGAUUACAAAAAUUGAUUUUUUUUCUUCAUUACAUAACCUUCAACAUUAGCUAUAUCAUAUUCAACUGAAAAUUACUAAAUUAUUUGUGAUAAUAGAAACCAAAUUAUUAUGUUCUCUAAUCUUACACUUUCCCAUACAAAUAAAAUACUUUAUAUAACUUCAUCAAAUUGCUAUAACAUUGGAUUGAAUAUAAAAAACCUACCAUCACUUAUAAGAAUUACAACUUGUUCCAAAUAUACUUUUAAGAUUCAUAUUGAACGAAAAUUAUAACAAUUAAUCUUACCAAAAAUUACAAGUAAAUGAAUUCAGAAAUUGAAGUUUCUCUUCAUCACAUAACCUUGAACAUUAACUCUAUCCUAUUCAACUUAAAAUUACUGAAGUCAUUGAGAUAAUAAUUUGAAACUUGGACCUUCAAACCCUUGACUAGUGAUCUCUAACUUUUCCUUCUUUGGCUCGGCUGAUCCAAAUUUGGUUGUGAACGGUGACCUAAAUAUUUUUUAUGGAUGAUUUUCUCUCCUUAGGCUCCUCCUCACCGAUUGCUUGUAAGCAAAAAUCUCUCUCUCUUUCCUAAUUAAUCAUUUAAAAAAUAUCAUGAUAUAUAGUUAAUAGUAUGUCAUAUAUUUUGAACAUUUUUCUUAUACAUACCUUUAGUGUUUAUUUUUCACAGCUCCUCUUUGAUUAAUAUGCUUUUCUCCCAAUUUCUUGGUUUGUAACAAACAUUAUAAACUUCAUUUUCAGUUUAUGUUUUAAUUCAUAAAAUUACUAAUACAUAAAUGAUUUAAGAAAUGUAAUAACCUUCAUUUUCAGUGCUUCUUUUUCUAUUUGUUCUACUUCCUUUAGUAGAGUUGUGAUGUAUACCGUGUCAUCUAAGCUCUAGUUCUGUCCAUCCUGUCAAUCAAGAAUACAUACACAGUACUAAAUACAUACACAAGACCUAUACUAAUCAUAACAUCAUACCCUUGCAGCUUCAUUUUCACUAUUUACUAUUGUAGUUUUGUCCCCUUCUUCAUCCAUAUUUAUAUUUUCUGUAUUACAAUCUUCUCCAUCGUCCACCAAUCCGUCAUCUCUUUCACCGUUUCCUCCAUCACGAUCCUCAUCCCUAUUUUCACAAUUUUCUUCUUCAGUCAUUGAACUACUUAUAUUAGUCAAUUUAUUUUUGAUCUCUUCAACCUCCCAACUAGUUUGUCCAACAUCUUAUUUAAUUCUUCAUUGUUUGCCAACAUAAUUUCCUGGAAUGUUAGGAAAUACUCAUGAAUCUGAGUGUUAAUACGCGCAGAUUCUUUAGAGUAUUCUCCUUUUUCAAAAUUUUUGGUUUCAGUCCCAUGGAACAUAUUUCCUUCCAUGACAUCUUCAUCAGGAAACAACCCCUUGAACACAAACUAAAAUUUCAAAAGUAGUGUACAUAAGUAUAUUUUCGUAUAUAGUAUAUAUACAGAUUUAAUUUGAAUAUAUUUCAAUUUACUUCGUUUAUUACCUGAUUAGUGUCAAAGACCCUUUCAGCCAAUUCCUUCCACUCUUGAUGUGUGUCAACAAUCCAGUUUAGCAUGCAUAAAUUGCUAUCAUCAACUCUUUUAUCACAGAACAUGGAAGGUCCACUCGAUAGUGGUAUGCAUUGGUAUGCUCAUACUAAAAAUGAAAAGAGAAAAAGGACAAUAGAAAAUUGCAGAAAAACGAAUAAAGGAACGAAGAAGGAAGUAGACCAUUUAAGAUACGAUGAUGGUAAAUUCAUGCAAUGCUGACAUAAAAAAAGGAACAAAACUCGUUGAUUUUCAAACUUGAGCUUAAUUUUAGUUUGAGUCUCUAGAAAGGGCAGGUCUAUGCAAUUUUCUCAACUCACAUAACCGUUUUUGUACACAGUUUGUUGGAGAAGAGGAUCCACUUAUGGACGCCUUUGGUGACAUAUCAGCAAAGAUCACUCCAAUUUCCACGCGGAUUUGAACAACAAUACCCCACAAAUUCAAAAGUUGAAGCGGAGACUUGGAAUUCCAAAGGAGACUCCCCUGUAUGACGCAUUCAAAUCCCUCAAACAUGUUCAACCAAAUCCAUGUUUUCACUCAAGUCCUCGUCCUCGUCUUCGUCUUCGCCUUCCUUUUCAAUCCAUCACUCACUCUUUUCUUCAUUUCACACCAUUUUCUUUCCCCCUUAAAUUCCAAGCCCAUUUCCCACAUUCCCCCUUCUUUGUUUCCUUCUCAAUCGUCUUCCACCAUUUGCCCCAUUAUCACUGGAAAUGAGGCGUUUAGUGCAAAUUUUGUAUACCCUUUUCUCUUUCUUCUUCAUUUCUAACUUCCCCAUUGUGAAAUCUGAGCUCUCCACCACUCAAUAUGCUACCAUGGUGGAGCUUUCUCGGCUUCUCGGUUUUUGGGGUGUUAACAAGGAGCCGAAUCCGUGUUUGUGGAAGUGGAUUGGAUGCAAUUCUGAUAAUUCCUCUGUUACUCAAAUUUUGCUUUCUGGGUCUUCUCUUUCUUCCGACAACUUUUUGCCUGUUGUUUGCCAGAUUGAUACUCUACUGGAACUUGAUGUCUCACAGAACAAAUUGAAUCGUAUUCCGGAGCAGUUCAUCAAAGAUUGUGGAGGAAUUUCUGGGCUUUCAAAGCUGAAUUUUAGCAACAACGGGUUAGAUGGUUCUUUGCCUAGAUUUGUUGGUUUUAAAAGGUUGGAAAUCUUGGAUUUAUCUAUCAAUUUCAUGAAUGGAACUGUUGGUUUGCAGUUGGAUGAACUGGUUAAUCUUAAAUGUUUGAACCUUAGUUCAAAUAGUUUCAGUGGCCCUGUUCCCACUAAAAUUGGAAAAAACAAUUCUUUAGAACAGCUUCAGCUUUCUAAGAAUAAAUUUCAGGGGACAAUCUCAGAAGUUAUCACCAAUUAUACGAACUUGACUUUUAUUGAUCUCAGUGCAAAUGAUCUUUCCGGGUCUCUUCCUUUGCAAAUUGGGAGACUCUCCAAGUUGGAGUUUCUGAUUCUAUCUGCAAACGAUUUUCAUGGAGAAAUUCCAGAAAGUGUUUCAAGAAUUAGCUCUCUUGUGAGGUUAGCAGCUCACCAAAAUAGUUUUACUGGUAACAUUCCUAAUGGGAUUACAAAUUAUGUCAAGAAUUUAGAUCUUAGUUACAAUAAUAUGACUGGCUCCAUUCCAGUAGGCCUCUUAUCCAAACCACAAUUAGAGACAGUAGAUUUGUCUCAGAAUAAGUUAGUGGGGCCUAUUCCUGGAGAUUUCUCUUCUAGUUCUAACUUGGUAAGGUUGAGAUUGGGAAGCAAUAUGUUGGAUGGGACAAUCCCUAAAACAUUUGGAAAUCUUCAGAAACUGAUGUACAUGGAAUUGGACAAUAAUAAGCUAACUGGUGUAAUACCUGAUGAGUUGGGAGCUUGUAAGAGUCUUUUGCUGUUGAAUUUAGCCCACAAUAACUUAUGGGGCAGACUUCCAACGCAGUUUGGGCAUCUUCAAGGUCUUCAAGCCUUGAUACUUGAAUCCAACAACCUGUCUGGAGAAUUUCCAUUAGAAAUUAUGCAACUAAAAAAUUUGACUGUUUUAAAUAUUGGUUGGAACUCUCUCAAUGGUUCGAUACCUUCUUCAAUAUCAGUCUUACAGAAGCUUGUUAAGAUGAAUUUACAGGGUAACUAUUUCUCUGGUGUGAUACCUGAUACGAUUGGCAGCAUGAGUUCAUUAUUGGAACUCCAACUGGGUAGAAACCAACUAGCUAGUCCAAUUCCAAAAAUGCCUGAGAAUUUGGAUAUUGCUUUGAACCUAAGCAACAAUCAUUUUGAAGGCCUGAUUCCAAACUCUUUUCGUGGACUUAUUAAAUUGGUAGUGUUGGACCUCUCAAACAACCGGUUUUCAGGUAAGAUUCCUUCGUUUCUGGUUCAGUUGUUAUCCUUGACUGAACUGAAUCUCUCUAACAAUCAGCUCUCUGGCGUUAUUCCACCAUUUAGGAAUUGGGUUUCGCUUGGCAUAAAAGGAAACCCAAAUCUUAUUAAUGAGUCGACAUUUGACACUCCUUCAUUUGAAAAGAAGGUAAAACCGAGAAAACCGAUCGUUGUGUCCAUCAUCGUUGUGGUUGUAGCUUUCUUUAUUUCAUCUGCAUUGGUAUUUUUUAUUAUCUUCAUGUGGCGACGUAAUUGGAAGGGUAAUACCAAUGAAUCUCAAGUAGAAGAUGCUCCUAUGACAACGGUUAUUCAGGGUAAACUAUUGUCUCUUAGCGUCAUCCACCGCUCAAAUAUUGACUUUGCUGAAGCCAUGAAGGCAGUUUCUGAGCCAUCUAACAUUAGUGUGAAAACUCGGUUUUCUGCUUACUACAAAGUUGUCAUGCCGUGCGAAUCAAUCUAUUUUGUCAAGAAGCUCAAGUGGAGUGACAAAAUAUGUCAGCCAGAAAGUCAUGAUAAGUUUGGAAAACAACUGGAGGUCCUUGGGAGACUUAGUAAUUCAAAUAUCAUGACACCUCUAGCUUACGCUUUGACUACUGAAAGUGCUUACCUUUUCUUUGAAUAUGCUCCCAAAGGCACUCUUUUUGAUGUUCUUCAUGGUUGCCCGGGAAACAUCCUUGAUUGGUCUGCUCGAUACAGCAUAGCCAUUGGAGCAGCUCAAGGUCUCACGUUUCUGCACGGGUGUGCAUCUGGCCCUGUACUUCUCCUUGAUUUAUCAAGUAAAAGCAUUUUUCUCAAGUCCCUCAAGGAGCCUCAAAUUGGUGACAUUGAGCUUUGCAAGGUGAUCGAUCCCUUGAAGAGCACUGGCAGUGUUUCAAUGGUAGCUGGUUCUGUUGGGUAUAUUCCUCCAGGUAAGAAACCUGUCGCCUUAUUUUCAAAAGCAAAAACUUCAGUUAGCAAAUCUAAUCUACCCCCAUCAUGUACUAUGCAAGACUGUAGGUAUAGUUUGUGACACGUUUUCUCUUUUUUGGAUGUGAUUGCAGAGUAUGCUUACACAAUGAAAGUAUCAUCAGCUGGCAACGUCUACAGUUUCGGUGUGGUUUUACUUGAGUUACUAUCAGGAAAGACAGCAGUGAGUGAGGGAGCGGAGUUGGCAAAAACUGUGCUAAGUUACCACUCCAAGCAACAUCAGAAAUGGGAGCUGCAAAUUCUGGAUAAUAGUAUCAGCAAAACAUCAUCUUACGUUCAAAGCCAGAUGGGAGCAGUCCUUAAAGUAGCUGUUUCAUGCGUAUCACCUUCACCCGAAGACAGGCCGAAAAUGAAGACGGUACUUAGAAUGCUCCUUAAUGCAAGAUAAUCCAAGAUUGUUCCUUCCUACUAUCAAAUAUGGACUGGAAAGUAGCUGCAGCGUCUUCCAUGUAUGAGGUGAUGAUCUUAAUUCUUACCUCUACUUAUUUGUUUUGUGAUAUUAAGAAUUGACGUACUGCUAGGUCUGAGCAUCUAUUUCAUGUAAGAUGUGAACCGAUAGAACAGAAAUAUGAUGAAUCUUAUGUUGUAAUAUGAUAGAGUUUGUUUACGUAUAGAUCAAAAAAUAAGUAUAAGUAUAUAAAUAAGUGUUUGAAGGCAUAUCCUUCUUUUCUAUCCUUAACUUGGUGUGUUCUGCUAAUUCAUGGAUGGUUUGUUCAUCCUCAUUUGUUAUUGUAUCUUAACCGUUCGCUCCCCAUCCUUCUAAGAACUAAGGAUGAUUUUUGGAUGCAAGUGAAAAAUAAUGUUCUUAGUUUGUUGUUUAGUAGAAUGGCUUUUAAGAGCUGUGAUAUGGUGAUUUGUAAAGGUUGUAAUGAAUAUCCUCUGAUUUUUAGAAGACUUCUAAAAUAUGCCAACAAGAAUAAUAAAGAAUAUACCAUUUAUACCCAAAAUUUUGGAAGGGUUUCAAUUAAAAUUCACAAUUAUCGAUUAUAUUAAUUUAAACUUUGAACUUUUGUCAUUGUAUCAAUUUACACCUUCAUUUAGAUUUAUCCGAAAACAUGUUGUGAAACUUGUAAUUAUAUCAAUUGAACUGUGAAUUAAUUUAAAUAAUUUAUUAUGAUUAAUAAAAAUAGUUUAUGCAUAAAUUCUUACACGUUUGUAAAUUUUUUCAAAUAUCAAAUUAGAGUUGAUUGAGGACAUUUUUUUUCCAAUCAAAUAUGAUUUACUUUCAAAAGUUUAGAGUUUAAUAUAUAAUAUUAUAACUCCCAACUAAUAUUUAUUUAAACAAAAUAUAAUGAAUUGUAUAGAGUGAUAUAAUUACAAAAUUUACAGAUUAAAUGGAUGCAACCAUUUAAUUGAUAAAUUUUUUAAAAUUUUUAGGUAUAAAUUAAUAUUUUCUCAAAGAAUACUAUAUUAUAUCAUAUAAUUUUUAAGACAUUUUCCCUUAAAUAUGUAAAACCAUUUUUAAAGUUGUACGGAUCCUAGCAAUUUACCUAUGGUUAUGAAUACUUAAAAAAGACUUUAGGGGUCAUUUGGGUCAUUGGGUGGACUCGUUAAAUUUGUGUUUAUCAUGCAUAGUUAUUCUUGAUAAACGUGAAAAGCAAAGAGAAGAGAAGAUGAAAUUUCUCUAUGAAUGUAAAAAGUUUAAUAACGUUGGCUAUUAAAGUUGAAUUGUUUAUAUGUCAAAUGGCUUGUUAGUUUAUGAAUAAUUUUGUAGUAUUUGUUGCCGUUAAACUGUACAUUUUAUACCAUUUUCCUACUUAUUCCAGAAUUUUCAUACCUACAAAAUUUGGCAAUAUUGUUAGGAUAAAGGUAUGUUGUGCUAAAUUCUUUUACGCAUAACCGAUGGCAGAAUCUCAUAAAUAAAUCACAAGCAUAAAGUAAAAGGUAAGCUUCAUUUAGUUAGGUAAUUGGAAUAUACCAAAGUUCAAAAGUGUCAUUCAUUAUGGGUUUGACGCUAGUAAUCAAUAUAACUAGUUAUCUUAUAAGAAGAUGAUAUAACAAAAAAAAUUAUAGUAUGAGCUUAAAGAAGUGUCAAUGACGACCAAUAAUGAAACAUGCUGCUGAUUUGAUAGUAGCUACUAUCUUUGUUGGUAAAUUGAAAGCAAAAGAAGAAAGAGAAGUGGCUUGGGAUCUGUCAACUUAGGGACUAUUAGUCGGGUAUCGAUAGUAGCUUAAAAAAAUUGUUAGGUUAAAGUUAUAUUCAAGUUGAUUGAAUAUUGAGUUAAUAUAUGUGAAAGUGCCCUAAUAUUGAAUUUUUGAUAAUUAAUAUCUGAGUAUUGAGAGUUGUGAUGAUUAUGGUAAUUAACUUACGUAUUACUGUUCAAACUUCAUGAUGGUGGAACAUGAGAUCUAUUAUAGUUCAUCAAUGA
rnacentral:lncRNA from 1 species